UUCUUCUUUCUCCCCUUCUUCUUUCUCCCCUUCUUCUUUCUCCCCUUCUUCUUUCUCCCCUUCUUCUUUCUCCCCAGUGCCUUCUCAAAAUAUGUGUAUUUCAGUAUAAUGUACUCUGACAACAAGGCAACUAAAUUAUUGCUCGUGACUAAAUAUCGAUGCACUGCUGUUUAUCGAAGGUGUCGUAGAGGUGGAAAACAGCCGAUAAACAAACAGUAUUGCAUAUUUUCAGAAGAAAUAUUUCUUGUUUCAGUUGUCCCUUGUGUUUAGGAGGAUGUACCUGUCGUGUAUGUAAUUGAUACGUGUUUUGCUGUGCAGAGAAAAGGUUUUGGGUUGAAACCCCGAGGUGCUGGGCCUCUUGAUUGCCCACUGAAUUUGGUGGAAGUUGAGUGUCCAGCAGCACCUUGCACAGCUGUGAUUCUGCUUUGGAGAUUAAUUGGUUGCCCAGAAUUGAAGCAUUUAUCUUAUUUUUAUAGAGAUGCAUGACUUUGUUUGAAUGGUUUACGUGAAUGCCUUUUCAGAACGAAAAGAAAUCAUGUUAAGAUAAAUACUUGUUAAGAUAAAUACAUGUUAAGAUAAAUACUUGUGUAUGAAGAAGGCUGAAAAUGUGAAUGAGAUGUAAAAGAAAUUGGUCUCAUCCUUGUCCUAGUGAUGAAUUUUGAAAAUAUAGCAUUAGAUCACAUAAAUUACUGCUCUUAGAUUAAUCUCUUUAGUAACUUCGUGUUUACCAGGACUCAUCGUUCUCCUGUUUCAGGUUAUUUUCUGGCAUCAGCAGUUGUUACAUAUCAUCUGUAUGUGAUUUUGUAAAUACCUGAGUAUUAGCAGUUUAAUUGCUUUUGGAUGUAAACCAGACAUAGAUGAAAACUGUCCUGCUAUAAACUAGUAGUAAAAUCAACGUGGAGGGUUUAGAUUGCGGGGUGACGAUAAAACCCUGGCAGAUGUAUUGUUAACCUCCUCUCCCCCCCUGCCUCCCCCUUUUGCCCCUCCCUCUCCCCACUUCCCACUCAGCACAGGCGAUUGGGAGGGACAGAAGGACAGAGAGAAGAGAGUUGGAAAAAUUAACAAUGUUUUACUAAUGCUAAUAAUAAGAAUAGAGAAAAUAAUACAAAAUAUACAAAACCAAUCUUGAAAGUCUCAGCAACUGCAGAGCCGGCAACCAAAGUCCUGGACUGGACUCUGCAGCCAACCGGAGCUGGAUUCAGUCUGUCACUAGGCCUCAGUUUGCAGGGACGACUAGCAAGGUCCUCUCCUAAUGUCGGCCAUGAGCAGAAGAAAAGAGGGAAAAAAGGGACGAGAUCCUCGCGAUCUCCCACUUUUAUAUGAAGUGUCUACGUGAAUGGAAUGUUAUACACAGUUGGUCAGUUUCUUGGUCACUUGUUUCUCGUCGCCCUCCAUCCAUGUUUAUCAAUAAGUUUGCAUUCCAUUGCUAGGUUUACCAAAACAUGUGUCUGGUUCUCCAGGAAAACGCAGCCAACAUGAAGGCUUUAGCUGACAGGCAAAAUCACUAAAAGAGAAACUUGUUUUUAACAAAACUGGGACAAUCAACUAAGUAAAACCAAUAAAACAAAGUAAGACAAGUAAUACAAUUAAAGACUUAAAAAUUAAAAAUGAAACUCAAACAACCUUUUUGGUUUGCUUGAAGUAUUGAUGGAGUAGCAAAAGAAAACAUACACAAACGUUGCUCUUUAAACACUUAUUUAGAUUAUGUUACUGUUCUCCUGAUUUUUUUCCCUCAGUUUCAUGUGUAUCCGAUGUCAAGAGACACAUCACCCAAUGAAGCAGGUGCCUUGUAUAAGCAGAAAUAGAAUUAAACCUUUGAUAAUUUUGAUUUUGAAAUAUUGAGGUGAUCUUACUUCCUCUGUGCUUUUAAGGUCUCUUUAUUAAAAAUACACAUGCUUGAAUUUAUAUAGAUAUACUUCCUCCUGCAAUUAAUUAUGUGUCAAUGAAAAGCAUUUACUCUUGCCUACAGAAAUCCACCCCUGAAGUUUCUUCAUCUGCAAAUAGGAUUUCUGACCUUUUUUGUUGAAUAUUUCAUAUAGGUACCAAAUGAAACCUUAAGUUUAUCAGUUCCAUUUUUAAUGUAUUAGGUUCCAAAGUUGCAUCCAUUUAUGCAGUAAAUUAACUUGAAUUUUGAUAGAAGUGGAAAUGACAGAAACGCAAGUCAGGUUUUAUGGUGAACAUACCUUAAAGAAAAUACCAAUGUGUAAACAAAAUGAGAAACAGGAGAUCUUUGUCAUUUAGCAGAUGUCAAACGGAAGUGGGUUGAGCCUGCGAUAUAGAAAGUUGUGGUUAUAAAUUAAUCAGCAGCUGUGCAGCUGCCAACAUUUGUAAUGUUCAAACAUAAUACGUUCCCUUUUUUUGUAUUAAACUUUAGAUAGACAUACUCUUCCUCAUCAAAACCCAGGCUUUACUAUUUGGAUUCUUUUUAUUUCAGAGAAGUGAAAAUUCAGAGUAUUCCUAAAUGGUGAGCCAGGGCAGAGCUCAACUCCAAAUAUUGAGUGUUUGGCCUGACUCCUUUCCCCACAAAUUGUUAAUUUACCUUCAGUAAAGUGUUGGUUUUCCUCCUUAAUGCUACGAUCGCCUAUUGGAUCUUCUCAUAUGACUUUCAGAGCUUCGACGAGGACAGUUCGCCUUCUCCAGACAAUAUCCCCAGCAAUGACAAGAGUCUAAAUUAUAUUCACCUAAGUCUUCAAAGGGCAACCUGGGCUCUGGGAGCAUCCUUAUCGUGAGUACCUUCAAGAGCUGGGGAUGCCAGCAGUGCUGAGCACCACAUCCAGCUUAGCAGAGGUUCUGGUGAGGACCUACCUUGAAUUCUGGGGUCAGUGUUGGACCCUUCACACCAGGAAAGCCCUUGAGGUGCUGGAGCAAGUGGAGAGAAGGGAACGGAGCUGGUGAGGGGCUGGAGCACAAGUGUGAUGGAGCGGCUGAGGGACCUGGGGGGUUCAGCUGGAGAACAGGAGCUGAGGGGAGACCUUCUGAUCUCUGAACUGCCUGAAAGGAGCUUGGAGCCAGGGGGGUCGGGCUCUGCUCCCCAGGAACAAGCACCAGGAGCAGAGGAAACGGCCUCAAAUUGCACCAGGGGAGGUUGAGGUUGGAUCUGGGAACAAUUUCUUCCCCAAAGGGCUGUGGGGCAUUGGAACAGGCUGCCCAGGGCAGUGCUGGAGUCACUGUCCCUGGAGGAGUUGAAUAGAUGGGGAUGAGGUUCUCAGGGACAUGGUUUAGUGCUAGAAUUACAUCAUGGUUGGUCUUGGUGAUUUUGAGGGUCUCUUCCAACCAAAAUGAUUCUAUGAUUCUGACUGAACGUCACCAUAGCAGAGCUGUUCAGACCACCUGUAUGAGCAUGGUCCUAACUCCACAGGGGCUGGAUGGCCUGCAACUCAGUGGAGAAUCUUCUUCCCACGGCAACAUUCUGGUCUAAUAACGUCCACAGAGUGCAGAGGACCAUCUUCCUUCUUGUACUCUUCUCCUAUGGUGAAUGGUAAAGUGCGAUUUGAAUGAAGUAGGAAAUAUUUGGACAACAUCCCAGAGGGAAAGAGAACUGAAUACAGUCCCACAGAGAGAACGGCAAGAGAAUGAAAAGCAGAUAUUUUUAUAAUAUCAGCCAUACCAGGUUACUAGCAAUAAAUUUCCAAACAAGUAGGAGAGAUACGAUUUGGCCGGACUAAUUUUCAAGUCUUCAGAUUUACUGAAUAGAUUUAGCUUUAAAUAUAUUUUGACACUUCAGAAACAGAGUGUGUUUUCUCAGAGCAAGGCAGAGACUUCUGUUGGAAAGUCAAUUUCCAGCUGCCUUGUAUGAGGCGUGAACACGAGUAUGUGUCUCUGUGGCAUAAAUUAACUUGCCGAAAACACUUGACGAUAAUUCUCAUCCCAGCACGACUGCUGUGCCUUUGAACAGGCUGACACUCCAGCCGGGUGAAGUUUCCAAGUGUGUGGGGACUCUGACAUCCAAGAACAAUGUCCUGGAUUGCAUAGUGGUCAAACUCCAUCAUCUCCAGCUCCAUCGGGAGCAGAAAUUUGUGCAGUUACCUAUGGGAAGAGCAGCUGCGGUGUUACCAGAGUUCCUACCCUUUUUAAUAGAAUGUUCUUGAAAUAAAGUACAUUUUCUGUCACCUAUGACUGUUGUAACAGAUAUCUCAAGUGGAAGCUGGGGAUUUCUCUUUAGGCUUGAUAACUACUGUUACCUUGCAGCAGAAAGUUUGCUAUAGUUACCCCCUGGGGCAGAAUAAUUCCCCUUAAAAUCACAGACUGUAGGUUCUUUCACUGACACGUUAGUACUACAGCAAUAGGUAGGGAAGGAAGGAGCAAGGUUGUCACUUUGCUAGAAUAUGAUUUGUCUGUGCCUUGGUAAAUUCAGUUUUACAUCACAUCUAAACCACUGUCCCUUCUGGCGCUCCAAAACACACCCCAUAGUGAUUCCUUUCUGUAGAACGGUUUCUCAAUCCCUCCAUCCUGGAAAUGCUGCACAAGCAGAAACUUGCUCAUCACUUUCCAGUACAAGUGCCAACACAUCUUCUCUAGGGAGGAAGCAAGUCCAGGCUUGCUGCCAAAUGAUGUUACCCUGUCUUAGGCCCUGCUAUUGUUUUAUGUCUUCUUUCCAGUUCUUAUAAUCUCCAGGACCGUUGGGAGCCUCACGCGGGUCUCAGGCCACAUCAUUUUGAUAACCCAGCUCGGGACGAGCGGUACAGAUUCCAAAAGUGACAAAUUCCUCCGACAAUCGACUCAUCAUCCUUUCAUUUUUUGCCGAACUCCCAUGACAGCGCUGCAGACAGAUGUUACACCCUGAACCCCACUUCUAGACAUUGAGCUUGAAUGUUUGCCAAGGACCGCUUGGGAGACAGAGAGACCAGUCAGGACAUAGGACAUCCAGCUGGCGGGGCUCCCUUCCUCACCUUGACUUCAGUGCUGAAGGAAUCCAUCAAGUGGCUCAGCUUAUCUGUUCUCUAAAGGGGUUUCAGUAAUUAUGAGCUGUUCAGAAUCUCUUCAACCAUUUAAUCUUUUUUUUCUGAGGUUUAGCUACAUUCAGUAUCUUUGUAUUGUAUAUGUAUAUAUGUUUAUCACAUCAAUUUCUGUCUAUCCAUAAAUCACCUUUGUCACCCGGAGGUUCAACAUUCACAUGCAAAUUUGCACUACAGUAUUUUGCGUGUCAGAAGCAUUCCUAGGUAAUUUUUUAAAAGCAUUGCUGUGUGUUUGAGGGAUGCUGAUAUCUUAUUAUGCCUCUCCUUAUACUUGGCAGAGGUACAUUGCCAAGUGCCUGUCUCAUGCCCUGUUUCCUCUGAAAUGCCCAGCAAAAGAGAGAAAGCAUUGCAAAUUUGUAGCUGGUGAUGUUGUCUUUUGUCUCCUAGACCUUGUUAUUACCUCAUUUAUGAUUAUUUUAAUCUCCUCUGUGAUAUUUUGAUCUUAUAUGAUCUUUCCCUCCCUUUGGCUGAUGUGGGCCAAGGCUUUUCUGAAGUUAUUUUCGCGUGCAUCUUUGGUUUUCUGAGUUACAUUGGUGAUGUUUGGGUAUGUGUUUUAUUUGAGGAGUAGGUGGUUCACACAAAUGAGCACAUCACGUUGCGUAUUCCUAGCAGGUUUUUCAUUCAGAACAAGUUUUGAGAGAAUGCUGAAGCCAGGUGCCCUCAGAGCCCAAUUCUAAGUCUGGUUCAUCCAGGUCAAAGCCAACUCCGAGCAUCUUCAGGGGACAUUGGUUGUGUUUCUCUGGGGAGGUACCAGGUGCCCUGUCUACCGUUCAACGCCGGUUAUAGUUCAGAGAAAGAGAAAACCCAGAGCUGCCGUUGAAUGGGGUUGCUAAUACAGCUUCUCCUAUCUGUCUUUUAUCCCUUCUAAAUGGAAUUUCUGCUGGUAGGUUUUUAUUUCAGUAACAGGGGAUUGACGGAUCGCUGCGGUGGCUCCUCCCUAGCCUUGCUCUUAGCAGUCGAGAAAGGCUGAAGACUAUCAGCUGCAGCCACAGUGGAUAUGGGGAUUCAUAAAGAGUCUGAACUCUUUGUGUUCCAGGAGCAAAGGAUCACUUAGAAGGAAAGUUAAUUCUGAGAACAGCAUGUUGACUCCGGGGAAGGGGGUAGGAAGAGGCGUUUCAGUCAGGCUUGGCAAAUAACCACAUCUUCCCUUUUCCUUGCAGAGGUUUCUUAACUCCAUUUCUUUUCCUUGAGGACUUGUGCAGAGGGUGUAACCACUGGACAAAGCAAAGGGAGGAAUCACAGGUCGAUGCAGGAUCCAAAGAUUUCCCAUCACUGGGCUGAAUCCAGAAUUUUGUACGCUCUAUGCGUGACCCAAAGUGCGUGUUGGAGAUGUGACCAAGUGAGAAAACCAGAGAAACGCCACAUGGCUUUGCAAAGACCUCCCAGCCUUCCUGCCCUGGAAAAGAAGACCCCAUAAAGUCAGCCACGUGUUGAAGAGUGGUGAAAAUGCCAAGUACGAUGAGGAGAAACCAUCCAGGUCACUCAGUUGGCCCUGCUCCACCUGGAAAAGUGUCUGAGCUCCAGAGAUGGCACAACCAAAGGGUGCUGGUGGCUUGGUCCUGGCCAGGGCAGGUGCACCAGUGAGACUGUGAUUCCUUCCUUCACUCCUUAUGUUACAUUCUUUUCAAACAUGUAUUUUGAGAAAUUUUUGCUUUGGAUUUGCUGGCUGUGUAGCUCAGAACCAGGUGCCUCUGGUCAUGUGGAGGCAGGAGGAGCUCUUGGGACAUGGGCACACUGGCCAGGACACGCUGCUGACCCUGCAGCUCACCUUUGUGCUCAGAUAUGGAUUAGCAGAACAAGCUUAUAACAAAAUUGAAAAAUCUAAUUUUGAUUAGUUUUUUCUUCCCCUGAGGAAAAUUCACAAUCUCUUUUUUUUUCCCCCUGACAGACAGUAUUUUAGUUCUCAUGUUCUUUAUUUUACUAGUGACCAUCUGCUGCUUUGUAGAUACUUUCCUGAUGUUGGACAUUGAUUUCUGUAACGAUUCCCGUGCAACCUGGCUCUAAUUAUUUGACAUUUUUUUCUGAUUUUUAAAGUAGAUUAGAUACUAUAUUUUGAUGUUGGCUCUGGUCGCUUACUUUUUCCUUCACAAUGAAAAGAGAACAUGCUGAAAUGUAAAUAACUUUUUAAGAAAAUAAAAUUCAACAAAGUGUGUAAUGUUCUUGUAGAAACAGGAAGACAUGCCAUGGAGACUGUGCUUUUAGUUGUUGCCCUAAGCAGUCAUCUAAUGUGCUUUAGCAAGAAUUGUGGCUUUCUGUAGAUUUCUCAGCUCACCUGAUCCAUAAGGACGUGGUGCAUGGAACCAGACCCCACCGGAGACGUGCAUCUGCAGGGCAUUUUGAAUUUCUGUGCUCCCAGGAUCUGCCGUGGGUGCUGCCAUUAAGGAGAAGACCGAACCUUUGAACAGUUGGCCAAGGACCCUUGGAGCAUCUCUCCAGACUCACCUGGACCCAGACAGCAGCAGAGGACCAUGAACACUGUGGGUGAGGAUAUUACCCAGAGUGUGACCAUCUAUGAAGCUUUUGCUUAAAUGACCCAUGUUUGGCUGAGGCUCCUGUUCUUAAUUAACAGCUAAAAGGAUGAGUCUGCAGAGAAAAAUUACAGCUCAGAUUCACUCUACCAAGUGAAAAGCGAGAAGCUGUGAUUACUGGUUUAGGAAUAGACAUUUAGCAGCAAGCACGGCGUGUGGAGAAACAAAUGUAUGGGUAAACAACAUGCGAAUUAAAGCAACGCUGAAUUCUGACUACAAAAUUUGCCUGCCACCAGACAUUCAAGAAAGAGAAAACUGCUUAAAAUAACAGGUACGUUCUGUAUAUUACUUGUAGUCAAAUUUAAAGGCUACGUCUGCGUUUUGAUCUUGAGUUGCUUAAUGGUUAUUUCACCCCUCUGUCACAACCUGCUGUCGCUUGUUCCUACAUCUGCUCUCAAACUCCCCGCUGUUGACGUGGGAGGCAAGAAAAUCACAAAAAAAAAGUGAUUCAAGAAAUGUAAACAAGAUGUAAAGAAGAGGGAGUGAGAAGUUUUCAAGGGCCUCACUGCUAAUGACUACCAAGGAUGCUUUUGGAAACUGUAAUGCCAGUGGCUGAAUGACACUUAAAACAAGAGCUCAGAGGUGUAGUCUGUUUUAAGUGAGAAUUCCCUGACAAUAUUUAUGGAGAAAACGAGUAAUUAACCAAGAUCAGAGGAUAUGCUAAUAUAGGAUGCGGUCAGUACGGUUUCCAAAGAUUGAGAACUUUUGAAACUACUGAAGAAAACUUGUAUUCCAAUAAACCAGAAGGUGUUGAUGUUGGACUAUCUAAGAAUGACCCCAAGCCAUUAGGGAACCUUGGUAAGGUGCUUAGAGACAACCCCCAGCAAAGAGAAACACACUCAAAGGUGUUUCUGAAAAGAAAGGCCAAGGUUUGCUAUUGCUUUUAUCUCUUUAUCUGCUCAAUAAUCAACAAUAAGUGCUUUGUGCCAUUCAGAAGUGGAACUGAGGGAGGAAUUUUGCCAGAAUCAUACCAAAUACAUGCGAGAACUUCUUCUGAUACUGUGUCUUUUGCAUGAAUUAUCCCACAUGCUUUUAGAAUAUGUGUGUGCAUAUAUAAAACAGUAUGUUUUUAAGAACAAGAGAGGCAGUAAGUGCAAUCUCUCUUAAAUAUACUGUAUCUAGUCAAGCAGAGAGGGCUGAACAGAUUUUUGCUCAGCUGCUGCACCUGCUUUUCCUUCUGCUGCCUCUUGAGCUCGGACCCGUUCCAAAGGUCUCUCCACGCUAAAUCCUGGAGACCCAGGAGCAGGGACCAAGCUGAAUCGCAGCUCCCUUACCUGGGGACUGAGAAAGGGCUUUUGGGGAGAGAACAGUGAAGAAGGGCUGGAGAGGAGGAGGAGGGAGCGUGGGGAUGUGGUUGGAGUCCGGGAUUGAAUGAUUCAUUUGGAACCUCAGAAAGUUCCAAAGUUCGAUCCUGACAAAGCUUUGGUGGUUCACAUAAGUAUCUUUGUUUCAGCCUUCUCUUUUUUCCUCUUUUUCUCUAUACUCCUUUUCCUGAGCUUUUAUUGCUUUCAUGGGACCCCUUUCUUCUCCUAAAUUGAAUCCAGGACCUUGCUUCUGUUCCCUUCCUGCUCGUUUUACCCUUUUUACCCCAGCAGACUGUGCACCUUUUUGCUGCUGCAAUUUCAAGUCGCUUGUGGCAUUCAAUUCUUUAUAAUGUGCAAUAUGCCAUUGAUGGAGCAUGUCUCAUAAUGCACAAGCGAUCCCAGCCAUUCAGGAAUUGAGGUGAGUCUCCCAGAUUGUGUCUUUUGGUUUAAGAAUAAGAUUAUAGGAAGAAAAAUGUCAUUGGCAUCCUCGUAUUUGCCUUCUGGUUGUUGUUGUUUUGUGGGUUUUGUUUGUUUGUGUUGUUUUUAUUUUCUUUAAACCUUAUGGGUACUUAAAAAAAAAGGAAAAGGAAAGGAAUAUGAGAUGUAGAAAAGCACAGCUUUGUGGGGAAUGCUGAGUAUCAUGGGGUUUGUGAUUAAAUCUGUAUAUAACAUUUGAAUGGAGCGAGAGAAGGUACUUUAUUUCCUAAGUAAAUCAAAGUGCUUUGAUAUGGAAUAAACUGCUAGUGUGUAUUUAUACGCUGCUCUUGUAGAGCAUCCCACCCACUCCGGGGCAUAGCAGCAACCAGCAGCAGCCCUGAUGCAAACAAAUUCAAGGGUUUCUUUAGCACAUAGGGCAGAUAUGUGAUUUUAGGCAUCAGCUACUAAAAGCUGGCAAAGUAAGACAAAACAAGCCCCUGCUCUGGGUGAUGUGGUCCUGCUGCUGUGGACACGCUUCUCUGCCAGGACAAAGGGGACAAAAUUUGGGGAAACGCCAAGGACACAGAAGGAGGGUGACAGCUUCUUGUCCCCAUUCCUGGGUGCCAGAGGGGACACAGGCAACAGUGACAUCGACCCGUCCUCGUUGGGUUUGUGCUGGUGAAGGCAAGACUCAGGACUGGUGCUGGUGAGGCCGAGUCAAGGUGUGAAGCUGUUGCUUUUAAUGCAAAUUUCACCAAAACUAGGUGUGAAGUAAGUUGCUGACAAAAGGCUGCAAAGGCAGAUCUGCUCCUGACAAAAUGCAGCAUUGCCUCAGGGCAGAUUGUUCCCUCUUCUUUGAUUUUGGUUUUUGGUUUGGUGGGUUGGUUAGUUGGUUGGUUUUUUAAAUGAUUGAGCUGAUAUUGAUCCUUAGCUGCUUCUUACAAGUUUUACAAGUGAUACCACAGCUUUUCUGUGUCCAGUUUUUGAUUUAUGGAAAGAUGGCAGACAGGUGUUCUGCUGCCUUGAUGGUGCCCAUUGCUUCAUCCAGCUCCAGCAGAGCCAAGAGUGGAGGGGCUGAACCCACGAGGCCACUUCUUGCCUCUGCCCCAGGCUAACCAGAGCCAGUGCACUGCAUGGGACUUGAAUUCUUUUUAUUUCUGCAUUAUUUUUAUUUUUUUUUAAUACGAAUUAAGUGUAACUUUUACAGAAAUGCUCAAUACUGGUGGUGAUGAUGAGGUGGUCCUACCAGGGCAAUGGAAAAGGCAUAUAUGUGCAAUGCGAAGAGCAGUACCUGUUUAGAGAAGUCUCACAGACUAUUACAGAUUCUAAGUGAUGGAAGAUACAUAUUGAAGUUGCUUUAUUUUAUGAUUUACACCUCCUUGAGCUGGCCUGCCUGGAACAGUUUUGUUCCUUUCCCUUUGUGCCCUGGUAAAGGUGCAUCUGCUAGAAAAGACCAAACUUCCCAUUUUGAUAAAACUUCUGUGCCAAGACAAGUCUCAAUUUCAGGAUGUUCAAUGUAUGAAAGUGCAAAAAUUGCAAUGUGGUCAGAUUAUUCAUCUCGGAUGUAGGAAAUUUCACCACAGAUCACAGGGAGAAACUCAAGUCUCUGCACUCACAUGAACAUCGUGAUGAUUUAGCAACAGGCAACGCUGGGGUAUGCUCUCUGUUUUGUGAAAAAUAUGACAAACCUUGCUUUCCUUUGCACUUUGGUAGAAUCCAAAAUGAGUCUUUGAUUGGAAAAGAUUGUGCAGAUCUACUCUUAAUUUUCCUUUGUGGUAUCUAGGAAGCGCCUGCUUUCUUUUUAUCCAAGCACUCAGCAUCAUCUUGAGUUUCAAGAUGCAUUUACAUCAAGUUAAACGAGCCAGCUCAGGUUGUGUAAGACUUUGAUUUGUCUGAUCUAUGUUAAGUAUCUUUGCAGGACCAAAACCACCUCUGCAAAGCUGUUUGUAGUUUCAUGCUUGUCAUGAGCUUUGAACACUCUUAUCUGAUUCAAAGUACCGCUCAGCCAGGAGAACUUCAGUUGACGCUCCUCAAAUAUCUGCACGGCCUGGCAGUCAGCAGAGUGCACAUUUUUUUCCCAUUUCAAGGCGAUGUCUUAGUUUGUUCCAGAACUUAUAUUAAAAAAAAAAAGCAAGUUAGAAAACAACAUGCACAGAAACAAGAUGCUCACUUAUUUUCUGACAGAGUGGAGGGGCCUUUGGGGGAUCUUGAAAGCAUCUACAGCCAGGAGGCAUGUGUGAGGUGCAGCGGGACCAGCACCGUGGAGCUUCUCCACAUGACAGAGCCUGGCAGUCUCAGUCAGGAAUUAUUAUGUUUAAAAAGCUGCUGUAGCAAGUAGGAAUGGAAGCAGAAAACCUUGGAGAUAUUAGAUUUAAAAAAAAAAAUGUUUAAAUGAGAGUUUUCACAAGAAUUUGUGCCCUUUGCCCUGCACUAAUAACCAGGAAAGGGGUUGUUGUGAGGGGACGGCGGCAUCAGAACUUGAGAGUCUCAUCCUUUUAUGAGUCCUUCCACCGAUUUCCUUCUGUGGGAAGAGCCGCGUUCUGGCCUCGCGCUGCCUGACAUUCCCUUCCCUGCGCUUGUCUGAUUUAUUAGUUUUUCUUUCCCCCCAUCUCUCUGCCUGACAACACCACCUGGGCACGGAUCAGGGAAGAACAUGCCGACUGCUGGGAUCCUGCGGUGCGUGAACAGAUGCUCUGUCGACGGACGCGGCGCUGAGCCCUCCGCCGAGCUCCCUACCUGCGCUCUGCCCGCACCCCUCCCUGCAAACCAGUAUCACCAGACAGGUCCUGGUUAACGGUAUUUGUGUUAAUUUAGUAUAGUGGAAGCACAUAUAUGACCUUGAUGAGGUCCCUGUUGCUAUAGGGUGUAUAAAUUUAUAGGAGUUUCAUUCUUACCCAUAAUACAACUUGGAAUUUAUAUCCUCUUCUGGGAAAGAGUUAGAUGUACGUGUGGUUAUUGUGAAUGCAUUGCCUUUCUAAAAGUCCAAAUCAAACAUAUAAACUCUUAUGUUUCACCUUAUAAACUAUCCAUUAGCACCCUCUCCUAAUUAGGGACCUUUUUAAAACCUUUCUUGCUAAUAUCUGACAUUUUUUUUUUUCUGGAGAAGUUAGAUAAAAUCUGUAAUGGUUUCUAGGUUUUAUUUCCAGAUUUUAUAGUAGAUUUAGCUCAUCUAGGUAUAAGGCUAAGCAACUGUACUAAGAUAACACUUUUUACUGAUAAAAACCAAAGUUCACAGAUAUAUUUACAAAUAUUAGCACAGCUACUCAUUAUCUUCAUUUCUCUGUCACCCUAUUCACCAUUAAUUGGCUAAAAUUGUAAAGGUAGGAUGUCAUCAUGGGUGACCCCUUCAUUUACAGUUCUGAAUGACAGGAAAGAUGAGAGUAUUGACAGGGCUGACAGGGAAUUUGGAAAGGAGGAUGUCUUAAGAGGAAAGAUCAGGAUCCAAUUUUGGUCACUUUAAAUUAGAAUUUGCACCAAGACAUUCAGGAAUAGGUGUCAACAGAGAGAGUGAAAGACAAGGCUGAAUGAAAGGAGACAAAUUGUGACCGGAGAGGUAGAUUUGCGAGUUAUUUGUAUAAAAACAGACAUUAAACUGUCUAUGUGGAUAAGCUGCUCAACCAUUGACCUCAUUGUCAGAAGUUGAAGGUCCAUUGUAGGAUGUUCUGCAGAAGAAGAUGAAGGCAAAGGAGGAAAGUGAUGCUGAAGGGGAAGAGUAAAAGAAGCAAAAAUUUCCAGAAAGGCUCAAGAGUCCUGGGGUUUAGUUAAAGGAUGAGUAAAGGCUGCUGAAAAAGAAUUGAAACAAAGAUAAUAAUUAUUGAUGGAACUAGACAACUCACCUUAAUUUCCCUGAGAACAGAGGUCUUCUCACUGGUGUGCAGCAGGAUGGUCUCGUCUUCAGCUGCUCUGGGUUGUAUCUCUGAUUAAUGAACAGACAAAUGUAUUGUGCAGUUUUACUAUCUGGGAAUAAAAGUGUCAAACUGUUUCUCUGGGUGGAUCAGACCACCUCAGAGAUCCUUUCCAACCUCAAUUAUUGUAUGGCUCUUGCAGAUACCAAUAAUAUAUGGUAAGGUGAUUUAAAAUCCUCAGCAGCUUCUGAGCCAUACUCAUACAGGUUUUUAAUUAUCUUUUGAGGAAAAUGAUUUUGCAGUGUAGGAAAAGGUUAUAUUUGUAUUACAUCCUACCAAAGUGGGUUCAGAAAAGGUGCUUUAAUGCUGUCAAAAGAUAACCUCUGUCACCCGUCACUGCACAAAUGUGAGGGGUGAGGAAUUAUUAUUGUCCUAAUUGCACAGGUGAGGAAAUGGGAUGAAGAAAGGGAGAAGCUCAAGGCCAAUCGAAAGUGUGACAGAGCUGGAAACAGAAUCCAGGCUCUUUACUCCAAUCAAUAUAUUAAUAACGUCAAUGACCAUUUCUCCUUUAUCUCUUUUUCUCUUGCACAUUACCUCAGUGAUGAACAUGCUAUGCUGUUAAAAAAAACUUGUGAGAUUAAUCAGUACUGCUGAAAACAUAAUGGCAGUUGUAAUAGCAACUGUAGCCCAGUUGUCUCUAAAAUUAAAGAUGAUGAGUGGUGCUGAUGGCAUAAAGAAGAUGCUCCGUGAGGAGGUGGGUGCCAUUGAGUCUUAUCAUGUGCCCUCUCUACUUUAAACUCUCUUUCCUGGCCCUGGAAAAGUCAGCAGAGAGCAGGUGAUGUAUUUCUGAUUGCUGCCUUUUAGUUUUGCAAAAUAACUCCUAAAGCCAAUUUGGAGUCGUUACAGGACCAUCACUUACGGUGGAGAUUCUGCCAGCACGAGCAAACAAGAGAGGAUAUGAUAAUAAAUGAUUUUAAAGGAUCUGUUCUGCACUGCUUCCAAUCUAGCAGGAGUGAAAAACAAAUGAGUUGACAGAUUUGCUGCUGAGCAAAAGUUAUUGACUGCAACCCCUGAGUAAGUCUUCUCCUGGCAGCACCUCUGCCUCCAUCAGCACCGCCUGAGUCCCCUCCAGCCACAUCACCCGCAUGUGAGCUCUGCCACCGCUCGCUGUCUGCACGGCAGAGACUUCAUCAGAGCAUCCAGACUGACCUGCGGACCUGAGAACUGCUGAUUUGUGUCAUUUCUUACUGUAAGUUGGUCUUGUGACUGCAUCUGGAAUAUUGUGUGCAGCUCUGGCCCCUCAGUUCCAGCAGGACAGGGAACUGCUGGAGAGAGUCCAGCGCAGCCACCAAGAUGCUGAAGGGAGUGGAGCAUCUCCCGUGUGAGGAAAGGCUGAGGGAGCUGGGGCUCUGGAGCUGGACAAGAGGAGACUGAGGGGGGACUCAUUCCUGGGGAUCAAUAUGGAAAGGGGGAGUGUCAGGAGGAUGGAGCCAGGCUCUUCUCAGUGACAACCAGUGACAGGACAAGGGACAAUGGGUACAAAUUGGAACACAGGAGGUUCCACUUAAAUAUGAGAAGAAACAGUUACCUUAGGCAUCCCCAUGGUCUCAGGUCCAGCACCCUUUCUCCAUGCCCCUGCUCCAUUCCUGGCCUCACUAAUCAGUCCAAUCACUAAUUAGUCAGGCCAAGAUCAUUCAAGACGUGGUUCCUAGGCAUGUGCUCAAGAACCCUUUUCUUUCAUUCAGAGUGUUUUUCAGCUAAUCCUCCUUGGUUUUGGGUAAAGAAUAGACACUGUGCCCUUCUGAUGUGCUAGAGAGCUUGUGUCACCACUCUUUAAAAGCAGGAGGGAAAAGUCUCUAAGGUUUUGCUAAAAGAGCAUUAAACCCAAAUGUGUUCUGCCAUGCCACAUGCAGAAGGCUUGGUUGUCCCAAUACUUCAGCCUGUGGGGUGGGCAUCACUGAGUAUUUGGUAAGAGAAACGCCUGUACCUGGGGGCGGACGGAUUUGAUUUCUGCGGCUUCACCCAUUCCUGCAUCUGGAAUGUGCUGCUGGGUCUUUGUCAACCUUUUAAUGCUCAAUUGCCAAAAAUACACAACAGCCACUAAAAACAUUGCAUCUGUCUGCACCCUCCUAUGACUACCCAUAAACCAAUAAUUAAUUUGCAAAUUGGAAAAUGAGAUGUGGGCAGUGGAUAGGUUGUUUGUAUUUUUUAAUAUUGCCUUAGACCUGUCUUUACCUGUAACAGAGUGGCAGUGACCCAUUUUCUAUGUAUUUCUGUUUAUAUUUCUUAUAAAGAAUGAAAUAUGUCAAAGAUUAGUAAGAUUUUUUUUAUAUUGCUAAAAAUUUCUCAGUGUAAUAAUACACUUUUUCUAAAUAUAUAUAUAUAUAUAUAUAUAUAUAUACACAUAUAUAUAGUGUUAAAAAGUCAUGAUCCUAAUUGUUCUUGCCAUGGAAAAGGUACGACUGAAUUAAAUUAAUACAUGGGAGACUUGUUUCAUUCUACAGCAACUACUAAUGUUCUUUGAAAAGCCGUUCUUUUUUUGAGUUCCUUAUCUGAAAAGGUUUGCCGUGUCUUCAUGCAAGUAGUUGUCACGCUUUACAAAAAUCACAAGCAGCAAAAAGUCAGAAUUGUCAGUUCAGAAGACACUGCUUGUUCCACUGGGUAACACCGAGAAAGCAACGCUGGCAAACGAUCUUUAGGAAAGAAAAAAAAGGAAAAGAAAAAGGGAAAAAAAAGAGACGGAAACAGCAGCGGAAUGAAGAUAAAAAGGUUUGCAGGCUUUAUUCUCAUUGAAGGUUGGCAACGGGAAAUCUGUUGGAGUAGAAGAAAAAUAUCUGAUAGGUCAUCUGUUGUGUAAUGAAGAAUAGAAGACAGAAGACAAGCUAGGAGAAGCAAGGUGAUUCCAAACCUCGGAGGAGUGUAAGAUCUUAUGAGAGAAACAUGAAAGCAAUACCUUUAUAAACUGACCAAAUUUAAUUUACUAUCGACGAGCCUUGUAAGACUGCGAGCUGACAAAAUCCAUUUAUAAGGGUAUAGGUAAGGCUGAAGUCAUACAUUUUUCUCCUGUGGAAUCAUUUCAUUAUAUAUUUGCUUCUUUUUUGUGUAGAUUUUCUGAUUAAAAAUUACCACUAAGAUGUCAAAUAUUUCCUUGUCCUCUGAUACCUGGGCUUAGUUACCCAAUAACUUAUUCUGCCUAUCCAUCUUCUUUAGCCACAAUAAAACGUGUUUGCAAAGGAUGAACAAAAGCAGAUAAAUAUACUCUCAUUUAAUAUGCACGGCUUUCUGCAAAAUGUCCCUAUUGUUCUGCUCUAUAUGUUCCUUGAGAGACACUGGAGUUGUCAGUAUGUUUUUUUGCAAUAUUUUAAAUGCUGAGCCUCGUGAUCAAUGAGCAUCAUAGCAAACGUGGUUGUGAUUUCGAGUAGAAAUCAGGACAUGAUGUGCGUGAGGUUGUGCUUGAUUUUGUUUUAAUUUGUGGUGCUUCGAGAGAUACAAAACCUGGAUUCUUUAUGCUGGGAAGAUGUUUGGAUGGGAUGCGAUAUGAGCGGAUUGGCACUGCACUAUGAGAACACUUUGGGUAGUGACAUCCCCAGUCCAGGCCACGCUCUCGCUUGCUGUGUGGAGACAGAAAAUGGUUUGUAUAUUGGUUUUCAAAUUCAAUGAUGGCCGCUAAAUGACUCACUCAUGUCAUUGUGUUUCUGAGGUCAUUUUUAUAGAUACGGUAGGAAUUUUUGCUCUCCAUGAACAGAGAAAUUUGCCCUCAGAGGACACUCUGAACUUUGCUGAAAGGAGGUUGUAGCGUGGAGGGUGGUGGUCACUUCUCCCAAGGAACAAGCGAUAGGACAAAAGGAAAUGGCCUCAAGUUGAACCAGGGGAGGUUUAGAUUGGAAAUGAAGAAAAAUUCCUUCUUGGAAAGUGUUGUUGGGCAUUGGAACAGGCUGCCCAGGGCAGUGGUGGAGUCACCAUUCCUGGAGGGGUUGAACAGAUGGAGAUGAGGUUCUCAGGGACAUGAGUUAGAGGUGGACUUGGCAGUGUUGGGUUAACGGUUGAACUUGAUGACCUUAAAGGUCUUUUCCAACCAAACCAAUUCUAUGACAUUUGAUUGAUGGGAGGGAGAUACUAUCAAGUCCCACCAGCUUCUGAGCUUUAUAGACAUAGGAUUCAUUAGCAGGACUUCUCUCUGAUCUUCCAUUCUGUGGAAACAAGUUGGGGUUGGAGUGCUUCAUACUUCCGUGGAGCUCAGUGUUUUUUUGCAGGCCAUAUGGGUGAAGAAAGCAGAGGAGAGGGGAAAGCUUCACAUUACAACAGGCUUUGGAGAACUCCUGCGUGACACCGCACAUCUGCGCCUCAGCAUGUCUUUGCUGCAGACCAGUGAGGCAUUAGGAGAGAGAAGAUGAGUCCCAGAUGUUGGAGAAAUGUGGUAGCACUCCAUGGAGUACAACUGGGAAAAAUAAAAGCCAAAGUUGUAGCGUUUAUUGGGCACCACAAGGAGAGCGCGUUUCUGCUUUGGUGAUAUUUUGAGUCAUUUAAAGCUCAAUUGGAUUCUGUCCUACAGUCUGUCUGGACUCGGAGCUGCUCGGAAGCCCAAGGCACGCUCAGGAAACGCUUACUGUUAAUCAAGAGAGGAAGAUUAAAGGAGAUCAGAACUACCAGGCUGAGGUGUGUUUUGUGUUUGACUACACCUUCCUACCUGUGCAUGUGUAUUAUCCCAGGAAAAAAACAACACAGGGAAAUAUAAGUUGUUGGGUGAAAAUUCUGCUCGAAUCUCAGCAGAGAGAAGUUCUCAAGGUAAGGUAACAUAUGCAACCUUAGCUCUAGCCUUAGACAUUUUAACAGAUCUGUAAAACCAUAAGUUAGGUCAUCUCAUACUGGUUUUGGACAAACACAAGCCAUCUUAACAUUUUAAUGUUUAAUUUUGUUCAGUUCCAAGUGGGUAUAAAUAAUUUUAAUUGUCUCAAUGUGCCUUGCUCACCUCAGGUCAUUUGAUAGGUUGUAGUUGACUCUUCACCAGCACGCAAAUGUUUGUCCAGACUUCGACUCAGCAACUCAGGUGAUGCUGCGGUUUGAGAAGGGUUUGUUUGGGCUUGUAGAAUUCUUCAUGUUAAAGCAAUGGCACUAAUUUUUGUCUGUUAGUGCAUCUAAAAUGGGUUUUAGCAGGCCAUCUUCCCUCGUAAGUGAAACUCAGAGUGUAAGAAUGAGUUGUUAUGCAUUCAAGACGUGUGAUUUUUUUUUUUUUUUAAAGAUGUGACCUUGUUGAAAUCAGAGCCAUUUUUUGUCACAGUGUUCGAUAACACGUUGCUUGGCCAAAUGUUAUUUUUCUGCCAUAUUUCACCUUACUACUCCCAGCUAUUGCAGUGCUAGAGUGAUUCCAGAGGAAUGUUUUUUUACUGUCAUGAUGAAAAUGCACAGUAUGAACAAAUGAAAAUAAUAUUGCUACCUCAGCUUAUUGUGGACACGCUCAUAUUAAUAUCCGUAAGUGAAACUUAACAUAACACUGAUGUUUGCAAACUUUUCACUUUUAAACAACACUCUGCCUCUAAGCAGACAAUUGGCUUCCUCUGUUUCUUGGCUUAGCUUGCUGUCGGCCCACUUCCAAAAAUAUCAUUGCGAUGCAAAAGAAUUUUAGUGAAGAGACUUGCAGAUGUAGCAAGCAAAAUAGGUCAAAGAAUGCAUAAAAAUAUAUUUAUUUCAGUCCUAACAUCUUCUCUAUGUGAAUCUUGAUAUCAAAAAAUUGUCAGGUCCUCAGCAGAAAGGUGAUUUAUCAGUAAUCAGAAUAUUUUUGGUUGGUUGUGUGCCCAAGUGUUGCCACCUUUACUGGAACAGAAUAGGUGGCUUUGCAGGUAUCUUGUCACUGAUAAAUGUUUUAUUAACCUAGAGUUAUUGUUUUGAAUGAUUUUUUUAAAAAGUUUUUAACCUUAUGCAAAAAUCCACAUUUUUAGCUCUUAUAAUAAUUAGUAAUAAUGAUAUUUAUUACUCCUCAGGUCUUUGGAAACAAUUACUAGAUCACAGCCACAGGUAGUUGUUUUUGUUGCCUCUGUUGCAGGUGAGUAGACAAAUAUUUUCCUUGAUGGAAUUGGGAAAUAUGUUACUUAAUGUCAGAACCUGGAGGGAUGAUAAAUAGACAUGUCAGUAUUUAACACUAACCAAAAGCAUUUGAGACCAGAUUGAACUAAUUUUACUAGUAGUUAGUGUAAUUAAAUGUUUUCACCAGGAUGGAAAGCCACGGUUUGAUUUUUGAAGUAAUUUGCUUGACAAAUAUCAGAUGUUAAAAUAAUUAAAGUUUAGCCGUUUAUAUUUAAUCUCAAGUGGAUCCAAGAAAACAAGGCUCUAAAUUAUAUCAGAUUCAUAUAUUAAUUGACUCAUGGAUUUUAAGACCAACAGGGACUAUUAUGGUCAUCCAAUCUGGCCUUCUGCACAAGCGGUCAUGGAAUUCCACCAAGUAAUUCAUGCAUCCAACUGUGAUUUUUAGAAGAAAUCCAUACAAAUUGAAAAGCUUACAGUGACUUCAUAACCUUUGUAAUCUUGUUACAUGGAAAAUCUGUAGAAAUAUGGAAGCUCUAAAUGAGCGUGGAAUUAAAAGUUUUGCACAGGUACAACGGUUAUGGAGUUAUUCCCCGAUCUUUUGCAGUCCUGUUGAAGUGAUUUUUAAUAUUACUAAAAAGGAAAGCAUCAAAGUGUCUUUCCCGUUAGAGUCAAAAUAAGGCUCUUUGCAAAAUUCUGACAAAGUUACAAAAAUGACCUUGAUUUCCAGCCCACAUUCUGUUUUGCUUGUUCAUCCAAUGUACUGAUAGCUCUGUUGUAUUAUUUUUACGGUAUGUCAAUCACAGAACAACUUUGACUUCAAACAGAGGUUUGACUUUGUUCUUUGCAGACACCUGUGUUACGAAGUAGGGUAAAUAAUUUUACUGAAUUACUGUUAAAUUCAAAGUAAUAGUUAUAAAAUGCAGUAGUGUUAAUUUAUUCUUUUGAUAAACCACCGUAUUUUUCAUGUGGUAAAUCCCAGUGAGUCCAGCUGGUUAAACUAGAAAUUUCUUUAUACAGCUGCAGUUUUGGUAAGAACUUAAUUUUACUGUGUUUGAUAUGCUUAAUAUAUUGUGAAACUUGGCAAAAAUAAUCAUUUUGAAAUUAUUAGUGAAAAAAAUUCUGAAAUUAUUCCUGAAAGCUACAUACAUAUUGUGUCUAGAAAAUAUUUAUGUGAAUGUAUGCAAAAAAAAGUACUGAUUUCUUCUUGAAUAUAAUUAUAUUACUCUACAUUAUGUUACUAUAGUUUAAAAAUUUUGCCUUUUCUAUUCUAACAAUCUCGUGUACAUGAAUUAACCUCUGAGGAUCUACAGAUGUGAAAAACCAGCGUCCUUUAAGUUAAACAAGAAGAUAAAUAGAUUUUUAAGUCAUAGACUUAAUAGAGUCAGCUGAUUGCCAGGUCAACUACUGCAGCCUAAAAUGUUCUGAGCUGGCUCUGAAUAAAUCAAAUUAAUAAACUGAUUAGUCUAAACCUCUUCGUAAAUAAGGGAUCCAGCAGGUGCUUUAAUAAGUGAGAUGAUAGUUUUGGAAGACCUAUUCAAAAUCACAAAGUCCUCUCUUCCAUUUUAUUUUAUUUUAUUUUAUUUUAUUUUAUUUUAUUUUAUUUUAUUUUAUUUUAUUUUAUUUUAUUUUAUUUUAUUUUAUUUUAUUUUAUUUUAUUUUAUUUUAUUUUAUUUAUUUUUUCUUCAGUAUUCCCAGCCAAAACAAAUCUCCACAAGCUUGGACAGUUUGUUUAGCUUUCUGAGGAUCUUGUUGAGCUUAAUUUUAGUGUAGGGGAUCCCAAGAGCCUUUAGCUUUUAUAAUCAAUUCUACAUGCACUGGCUUAUUCUUAAUAUAAAAAUGACUGGCUGACACAUAAUAAUGUCAGUUUAUUGGGAUUCAGGUCAAUAGUAGUAUUUGUUCUCUAGACAGAAGAGUCACUUCCAAAACGCUAUGACAUUCACUAAUUUGAUCAUUGUGCUUUACACAUACAGGUUUAACAAAAUGGGACUAACCCAACUCUGAAAUGCUUCAGCUGUGUGGUGAAGUUCUGUUCUGAAAAAUAGUUUUAUCAUAUGAAGGCUGCUCCAAUUAGACAUAAAAGUUGCCCAGGUCUUCAGAUCUUUAAGGUUAAUUGAGAAUGAUUUUUGAAAAUAUGUGUUUAUGCAUCUUUACAACUUAAAUCACAGCAUAUGUAUUUAUAUCUUUUAAGGCACUGAGCAUCUGUUCUUCCUCUUCUAAGAUGUGUACACAAGUCUACCUUGGCUUUCCAUAAAAUACACCUCAUUUUUACAAGUCUAACAGAUGCACUGUGGCCAAUUACAAGGCAUCUUUAAGGCAGUCAGCUCCGCUUGUUCUAAUCAACUUGCCGUAUGAACUGGAUCACCAAGGGAUUGGCGAGAGUUGGGAACAGCGUUUAGCACUUUGCUGACCUUGAGUCCACCUUUUCAAAACUCCUUCUGGAACUAAGAUUUUUUUCCAGCCAUUUUCAAGUGAUUUCUUCCACUUUCUCCAGAGACUAAAGCACUUGAUUGACCCAUGAUGUUAAGCGAAAUUCUUUCGCUGGAAAAGAAAAAUUGCUGGUAGUCUUAGAUGUGAAAAUAUUCAUGAACUAUUUAUUUAGUGGUUGGAAUUAAAACCUUCAAGAAGUUUCCAACACAUACAACAUCUGCCUGGGCUACUUAACAACAGGUAUUUUGGAAUUUUUACAUUGUGAAGGAAGAUACAGAAACAAACAUGUAAACAUCUCUAUAAAUAGAUAUUUAUCUGUAUUUUAGCCUUGUAGAUACCAUGAUUAUAUACAUGUGAUAUCACUUUAUCUCAUUUGAGAGUUGCUAAUACUGGAGAAUGGUUCCUGAGAACUUCUGAAAUGAUGUCAGGUAGGAAGUUAAGGGGUGUGAGAAGACUUUUUUAAGAAACAAAAGCUUUUGUCACUGAGAUAAUGAGAAAUUAUUUCUCAGCAUUCCUGAUACAGAAUAAUGGAGCUGAAGUUUGUACUGUGUGUUUACUAUUAAUUUAUCAGGCUCUGGUAAAUGGUACCUGCGUGAAAACAUGAGUUGUGCUGACUAUACGCUGAAUAAGUUAUCACAUGGAGAAGUUUGUUUUGUUUUAUUUUGUUUCAUUUCCAAGAAGUCACAGUUAUAUCUUAUAUUCUUGCUUAAAAUUUGUAGACUUUGUGUGGCACGGAAAAAGUAAUGGUCUCUCUGCUUUAAGUUUAGAACUAGUCCAUGCUGAAUUAACUAAGCGGUAGAAAUAACACUCAUGACUGAUCUGUUUUCUAAUGGUGACAUUAGAAUUGCCAGUUUCCCUACAGGAAAACCAAGAACAAAGAAAAACAACCAACCAAUCCCCCUUCCCCCCUCAAAAAAAGCAAACCAAACCCAAACCAAACAACAACACCAAAAACCCCAACAUUCAAAAGUAUUUUUCAAAUAUUCAAAAGUUAACAUUAUUUUGAGGCAUUUACUUAUUAUUUUCUGAAUGACAUCAGCAAUCAGUAUAGAAGAUAUAUACCAAAUAAGAAAUUAUACAACUGUAGUUGUUUUCGUAGUUGUGCUCUGGGUAAUCACGAUUCACAUUGCUCUGCUAAUUUACUCUCUCAGUUCAUUAGACAGGAUGUUUUUCUGUUGAAAUGUAUCAAACUAGGAUUCAAAAAUGCAACUGAAACGCACUCAAGCAUAAUUUCGAAUCCUGUUUUUGAGAUUCUGGAUUCUGAAAGAUUAUAUUUGCUCUGUGAAUUUUCUCUUCUUUCUCUUUGAAAAUAGUCUUGUGGCACAGAGUUAGCUUUUGCUAGUUUUUCUGUGUAAAGAAAUGGACCAAACACUGAACUAAAUCAAAAUUUAAGAUGAACACUUGGAAAGAAUAUAUCUAAGGCUUCAUUUCUUUUAAAACUUAUAUUCAGGACUCUCUUUACUCCUAAUAGUUGUCUUGGCUGGGUGAAUUAUUGGUUGUUAGGUAUUCAUCCCCCAAAACAUCUAAAACCUGCAGCUUGCCAUUGGUCUCUGGGUACCAGUGAACGACAGUGUUAAUUUUAUUGGUCAUAGGGAUUUCCUCCUUCUGGUCACUUUUUUGUUGAAAUAAACAGUGUAGCACCUUGGCCCCAGCUCAGACCUCAGCUGCACUGACAAGAUCUCUUCUGCAGUACAUGAAAUGGGGUAUGGUGUGUACAGUAUAUGUAAUUUAAUUUUACAGGCUGAACAGUUAUUCUUUAAUCCUCUUGCUCUGCUAUGUCAGAAAGCAGGACUUGAUGGUUUGUCUGCUUUUCCAUGUUACAGAGGUGAUACUGCAUCAGUGAAACAAACAGGUGGAAAAAAGGAGGCCGCAGAAUGUCAGGAUAGUUGUACACUAUGGGCAAGUUCAUUGUGGUUGAAAGAAAGAUGAGUUUUAUAGCUUAACAGAAAAUCCUAUAUGCAUCCCAGCAAUGGAGUAGGAUUCCAGUUCAUGGACAUGUGGUAAAAACAUUUGUGUAGCCUUUGGUAUGUUGUUUAAUCUGGUUGCUCAUCUAUAAAAUGAGAGUAUUGAUUCUUACCUCUCACCAUCUCCUGUGAGGUUUUUAAGAGUAUAUACAAAGCACCUAUAGAUCAACAUACACUACAGAGAUGCUUUAGAAGUGAAAAGUACUUUUAAAUGGUGCGGGUGUGUGCUGUGAUGGUUUGUGUGUGAGGGUUAAUUCACCUAACGACACUCCACUCUUUAUGGAGAGGAUGCUUGGGGGCUUGCGACACUGCCUUGCGAUGGAGCCAGCAGUGUCUGCUUGAAAACAGAGCUGCAAAAGUCAAUUCGGGAUUGCUCAGUUUAAAGCGAAGAUUGCGUUGUUAUACCUUUAGUUGUAAUUCCGAGGAAUGCUCCGGUUGAAUGUAGACGGUAUUAAUGUGCAUCAGCUCUCCGUACACUGAGCCAGUCAAUGACCACAUUGAUCCAGUCCUCUGUUUUCUUUCAGAGGAUGCUACGAUGAGGCAAUAGAAAUCAUUAGGACUUGUGAUAUUGAAAUCCUCCUGGUGCUGGCAGACAUGGAGCUCAAAUUUCACAUACCGGUGGCGGCAUCACAAGAGCAGUCAUGCCCAGAAUUUCAAGUUAAAGGGUUUUUUUAUUAUUAUUUUUGUUAGGUAAAUCCACACUGUUUUGUUCCUCUAUUUUGUACUUAGGUUAUUUCACUGAGAUCGUGUCAUCUGUGUGUGACGUGUUACCCAUUCUCUUGUGUUGAAUGUGAUACUGGGCGAUGCUCCAUUUCUAUUGAUGCAGGUUCUGAAGACCAUCCUUACUUGUCUCUACAGAUUGAGACUACUGUAAUUUAUGACAGAUUAGCAUUUGCAAGUUUGAUUACAAUACAUAUGCUUGAGCAUACCUAAGAAACACUUGUACUUGCUGGUAAACAAACCCAAAAGCUACCUCUGAAAGUCUGACAAUGUUCUUCCAAAAACUUAGGACCUCCAGGUUAUAGAGUUUCAUCUCUUUGAGGACUUAAUUUCUUAGAAGUUGCCACAGACAUUUUAGAGUUAGCCAGGGUUUUUGGCCGCUCACUUUUUCCAAGAAGGUUUUGCAAAUGGCCAUGUCUGGACACUUACUAGGCUUCCGGAGCUGACAUCUUCUUCAUUAAUAGCAGUAAUGUGGUCAUUACAAAAAUGUUUGUGAGCUCUUCUGCAGAGGACAAUGCAGAGGCAUGGAGCAGAAAACAGUUCUCAUUCCAAUCUCAGCGUAAAGCAGUCUAGUACAAGCAGAAAAUACAAAGAAAUGAUGUGAUGGUUACUGGUUAACAUAAUACAAGGUAGUUUCAGCAAUCUGCAACCUCAUUAUAGUCAAGUUCUUCAGUAUAUAAUAUAGUGAGAAUGUGAAUAAUGAUCUAGAAAUGAGGAGUUGGAGGUAGGACUCAAACAACAUUAAAAAACUGCAAGUUUAAUUUGGAGAAUAUAUCUAAGGAAGAAAUGUCAGAAAUGAAAACAGAGGAGAAAUUUGAAGUGGAGAACCCUCACCCAGUCACCCAAGUAACACGGUCCUGUAAAUGCACCAAGUAUAAUAACAUAUGCUAAUAAAUCUGUGUGCGGGAAGGUGGGCUGUCAACAGGCUGUUUCAAUUUUCAAAUAAGGUUUGUCCUUGCAGGUUUUCUUCACACCUCUCCUGAUGGCUCCAGGAUUAAAUCCAUAAAAAGCGAGCCGUAGAAACAAAUUGAAAAAUGCCAACCCCCCCACUGGCUUCAAGUUCCCUUUUGAUAAAUUGCUAAAAAGAAAAAAAAUCUCCUAAGAAGAACACUGCUGACUUGAGGGAUAGAAGGACUAGAGUAUGGAUGCUUUAGGAAAUGCGUCAGGCUAUUGGUAGGUUAUGGAACUGAUUCAGCUAAUCUGGAUAUAUUAGGUGGCAGUCUCUGUGGUCUACCCUGCCUGAAAAUGGCAAAUAUUCCUUUCAUUUCCUGCAGUGGACCUGAAGACGUGUUACGAGGCGGCUUUUUCUACAUGAUCCUGAGAUAAACAGCAACUUCAUAAGAAAAGCUGUUCUUCAUGGUAACUCUACUGCAAAAACAAGGACUUUUGGAUAAGGUUUUGUUAAUACGCUGGUAAGGAGCAAAACCUUAUUGAAGGCGUUGUUGUUCAGGUGAAACACUAACCCAAAAUCUUGACCGUUCGUUACUGUUAAAGACCUCUUGGCACUUUUCACCAGAGCAGAGGUGUGAGCCCUGGUGUCCUGGCCAAAUUCCAGCUUGGGUAAUUAAAUUCUGCCUUCCUAAAAUCCCCCCUGUAGUUUCAGCCGAGUACAGUAUUCUUCAUUUCCUCUCCGAAACUGCUGCACAGAAUUGCUUUGUGCUGGUAAACAGCUGCCACAUCUCACCCCAGAGGAAUUGCUGCAUUUCGGUACUCAAGCUCUCUCUUUUCUCUCUAUUUUUCUCUCUCUCGCACACGUAUGACACUGAAUUGCCCCGGAGCACCCACGAGCAUCCCUCCUCGCCGGCGGUGUUGGAGUCAGUAAGUGUGCAAGGCUCAGCAAGCCAAGCUCUGUCUCUACAAAGCAGCCCUGGAUCACAUUCCCCUCUCUUAUUGCAAUAUUUUUAAGCCAUGCUCGACUUUAGGAAUUCAUCCUAAAAUACCUUGCUGUUUCUAAAGAGCUGUGGAGCUGAAGUGGUGUUGGUGCUGCUACCCUUGAUUUCUAGAUAUUGGUCAUAGCUGGUAAAUGGUUUCAUUUUCUUUGCUGAGGAAGAAAUCUCGAGUCCACUUCUACUGGGGCUUGUUAAGCUGUUGCCUUGGGGGCCAGUUGAUCAGUUGUUAAGUAGUGAGCAGCUUUGGCAGUCAACAGGCGCAGGAUCCCCUGCAGCUACUCCAGCCUGCCUGUCCUAUCACUCUUUAUAGAGGUAGCAGAGUAUUGUCUUAGAAGUGCAAUAAUGAUAAAAUACGAACAGAUAUUGUUCAUUCAAUUUUGCAUGCGCCGGUACUAUAGAAAAAGCGCGUGACAUCUGUAUGGACAUAUAUACAUGUGUUUACUCGUCAAUAGUGGCUGUGAAAGUUCAGCUGAGGAUUUCUUUUUACAAUUUUUUAUUUUUGUUUUGAUGAUGAUAAAUCGGGGAUGCUAAGUAAAAAGACAACAGACUGAGAAUUGCAUGAGCUGCACUGAGAGCUCCUCAGAUAUUUGUCCUGGCUUUACCAGCCAGCUUGAAUCCACCAUGAAAAAUGGUAUGAAAAUAUGGCGGAGAUUACAAGGAUUUUUCUGGACACCUCAGCAAAAAUCACGGCCAGGCCACAGAGAGCCAUGUUUUUAUCUGACCGCAAGGAAGGUCUUCAGUUGGAAUGUCUUCUCCAAAUUGUCCUACCAAAUAGUGUAUUCUUGUUUACUCUGUAAAGCGUUGUGACAUACUUGCAUGAAAGGUGUGAUAUGUUCUAAGUAUUGGGGGGGGGGGGAAAGCCAGCUUGGUCAUUUCUCUAUCUCAAAAACAUUUCAGUGGUUGCAGAAAUAUCUGUUUUCUAAUCCAUGUGCACACUAAGAAAUUUUAUCUGAUUUUUAUUUAGCUAAGUAAACUGGGAACGAUUCAAAGCCGGUUCAACGGAUUUCCACUUUUCACUUGCCAGUAGGGUUUUUUAAAAUGUAUUUUAUGCUGGGGUUAUUUGGUUUGUUUUUUUGGUUGACUGAAUUACCUAUAUUCCUUGAAAUGGUGUUUAGUAAUUCUCAGUGGCUGCAGAGAUGCCUACUGGGAAGUGGUCAACUGAUCACAACAACCCCACUGACUCCGGGCUCUCCUACUGCUUUAACUCAAUUGCACUUUCCUAUCCAAAGCCACAUCUCUUAGGAAAAUCCCACAAAUGCUCUUUGCUGCGAAACACGGUUUUAAUAUUAUCGCAGCUAUCUGAAAAAAGCAAAACAAAACAAAAAGAUUAUAAAGACUACUUGGUACUGAAGGAAGAAACAAUUUCAAGGGAUGGAUUUACUGAAACAAGACUCCCAUUUGCUGCUGCUGUUUACCUCAUAGUCUGCCUCCUGCUAAAACAUUUCCCCCUUGAUGCUGAAUGUAACUUCUGUGGAUACAAAAGGACAUGUCCAUUCUUCAUCUGUGGCUUGAUCUUCUGCAGCCUGUAAAUAAUUAUGGGCAAAAUGGAAGCUUGGGAAGUUUGUUUUUUUUUCAUUUUUUUUCCUAUAUUGAUAAUAUAUUGUUGGUAUUCAAAGCUUGUUAAAAAUUCAGAUGGGAAAGUUUGGACAUGAUGAUUAAAAGACAGAUGAGUUUUAAAGAAACCCAGAUGCUAAAAUCAAAGCUCAUAGAGCUGAUCAAUAACAAAAGCACUUGCAUCCUCAAGAAGGGCUAUGAACAUAGUUGUGGUUUUGCAGUGAGAUAUGACAGAAGUGGGCCAUUUAUUCUGAACAGCUGAUAUUUGUCGCAUGCAUCGUGACAUGUGAUGAUAAAUGUAUGGUUCCUCCAAAAAUGAUCUCGCCUCUUCAACCAGCUUCUUUAUAAAAACAUUGAUAGUUGGGUGGAUAGGAAGGAGUCGGAAGUAGAAGAUGGAAUUAUUUUGAUGAGAAGAAACUAAAAAUAGUUAAUGGCAUUUUAUAGGCAGAGAUCUUAGUUAAUAAAUUAGGAUUGUUCUUUGCAGCUUUCUGCCUCUUGCUGUAGCGACUUUCUUCUGGAGAUGAUUUUUUUAUUAGUGGAAAGACCAUAGAAGUUUGCUCCUUGCCCCAUAGAAGACCUCCAGCAGAUCUAUUAAUACUCUGCAACCAAAUGAUUCAGAUGCCCUGUCUUAGGACAACUUCUUUUUUCUUCCUUUGUUUCUCCCUCUGAGAGAAAUAUUAUUUUUUUAAAUUAUUUUUUAAUAUUUAUUUUUAAUACAAAAACAAGCAAAAAAGAUUUUCUGGUUUUGUGACUUUAGCCCUACUGAUGGCAGGAAUCAUAGUCCAGAAAGCAGCAUCCUCUGCAUGUUGGAUCUUCAAUACAUCAAACGACAAUGUUGGCAUUGUUUUGAGAGGGUUAACUAAGAUUAAUGAGAAAAGAAACAUGAAGCCAUGGAGGAUCAACAUUACAAAUCAAUGACUGAAUAAAUUUAAUGUGUAUUCCAGCUGUACUUUACCUAGCAUGAGACUGAUUCUUAAGAGUGUAUCUUUUAUGCUUCUAAAUAACCCACCACGACAGGAACACUGCUUCUACUUUAAUAAUGCUUUAUUUAAGGUUUAUACAGUAGUCAAUGUAUUGAUUUAGAAGGAAUUUGUAGAAUAAAAAAAGAAAGCUUAAUAAGGUACAAACAAACUCUUCCAGCUUUCUCUGUUCACUAUCCUUAGCACUUUCAAGCUGUAACUUCAAUAUUUUAAUUCCAGUGAACAAAGUAAAUAGAAAAUAAAACCAGUCUUGUAGUCAACUUGAGUUUGAACCUUAGACUUUGUGUGGAUGAAGUAACUUCCCUGAAAGGUGAACUCUUUUAAAUGGUGUAGCUUUCUCUAACACAAUUCAGUAACUUCUGAAAGCACUCCUUAUAGCAGCAGAUGAAAAGAGAAUGCAUAUUUUAUUUAUUUAUACCUAAUUAUUGCUUAGAGCUAGGAAAUGCGACCCGUGUCUUUGCGAAUUAGAUCCUUUGUCGUUAAACUUUGCAACGGAGGUGGCUGGCUUUCUUCCUUUAAUCAAAACGCUAUUACCCUUAAAUUGCCUCUUAAAAUUGCCAUUUGUCUGGCAAAUCUGACGAAGUUGCCUGCCUCCCGAUAAUUACACGUAUAAAGCCGGCGACAAAAGGAGACCUUUUACAUGUCUGACCGGUUUCUGCAGUCCAGCCUCAUAAUCAGAUUCCAGAAAUUGAACUUGCAGAAAGUUUGUGCUAGCCUUGUGGAUUUUCAUUUCAGAUGUUGUCAACUCAAGGGCAUUUGGACCAAUCAAUAUCUGUCUGUCUUCUCGCACAGAGAAAGUUGGCUAUUAGAAAAGAGAGGCUUAGAGCAGGCUCAGCCAAUACCAUUAGCCCUAGCCUAAGGGCAGUUGUGUCCAUGUGCCGGGGUAGGCACCUGCCCCCUCCCCUCCCCCACCAUUAAGAAGGCCACUGGGGAUGUCAUUUGGACAUAGCGGGCAAAGAGCACUUCUUUAUUCUUUCUCUUUUUUACACCCAGACUUCACCAAAAAUCAAUAAAUCUGUUCUUUGCUUAUUUUCAGAACUUUACUUCAAUAUAAGCAAGGACUUUCCUUCCAGCUACAAACUCCAGUAGCACCAAGUCAGGAAUUUUUUUUUUGUGUGUGUGUGUGUAUUUUUUAUUUUCCUUUCUCUGUUCCAAUUUGAGAAAUAAUUGGAAAUAAUAUCCACAGUUUCUUCUUUUCCCUGCUAAAGAUUUUUUAGAAGAAAGACCUUGAUCUGCUGAGUCUUUUCAUGAUUCAGCACUUGAUUUUUCUCUCCUUGCUGUCCUUUUACUGCUAAUGUUUUUAUGUGAUGAGGUAAUGAAAUGAUACGUUUCUUUGUUUUUCAACCAACAAAGUUUUCUCCAGAUUGAAUCAGAUUUUGCGAUCUUCUUUGUCAAGGUACUGUUAGUGCUGCUGCUGUUGAGAACUGUUUCAAUAUGAAACUAUCACCCUUCUAUUUUAGGCACAGCAACAUUUCUGUACUGGAGAACCAGUUCUUGGAAGGCAUCAAGCCCAUGCUUGAAUGUUGUGAGGUUAUUUCUUGAAAGAAGCAUUUAAAAAAAGAUAGAUUGAUGGAUAAUUGAACUCAGUAUCCUAAUGACCAAACCAAGCAGCAGUAGGCAUAAGUAUAGAGCCUGGAUGCUAAAAAACCUUGAAGAAAUGCAGGUAAAUAGUCAUGGGAGGGCUGUUCUCUGAGAAUAUGAUGGCAGAGGACAAAAGGAAAGGGCAAAAGCAAAAAUGGAGUUGAUAUCAACAGAGAUUAAAGCACUGUAGGGAUGGUCCACCAAGAAAAAAAAGAAACAAUUAGGAAGGAAAAAUUUAGGAAUAAAUCUUGAAGACGGAAAACUAUUGGUCAAAACUAGUAGAGGGAGCUAGUGGUAGUAAUUUCAUCUAAUGGAUCUGUUGACAGAGUUCAGCACAACGAGCUUUAAUAGAUACACCAAACCUUGUCCUUUUGACUAUGAGAAGUUAAAACGGAAAAUGUUCCUGAAAAGAGGAGUAUCUCAUCCUCUGACCAAAAAGUCUGGUUGCAUAAUGCAAUCCAUUGAAGGCUCAAGUCCUGGAAGUGUCAGAGCUGAGAUCACAUUUAAUAUUUUGAUCUUUAAGACAGUAAAUGAAUAGUUAGGCAAAUGCAUCUUUUCCACUAUGUCAUUAUAUUAUCCUCAAGCAAUUUAGGACCUUUGUUGAAAUAAGAAGCCUAAGAUUUGGCUCAAAUAAUUCAGUGAAGCUCUGUUGAAGUUAACUGGUUGAGACCCACUGCAGACCUGGCCUGAAACCAUCAGUCAGUGAGGAGAACUUGGCCAGGACAGAUUUUGCUAAAUUCCUAUAAAUAUAAUGUCUGGAUACCUAAGAAAUACCACAGUAUGAAGACUCCUGUGUUGAGUCAGUCUUGAACUGCAGAGACAGAAAGAUGCAUAGAAUCAAAAAGACAUAGGAGAGAGUCCUAUAGACCUCAAGAAGCUGAACAUGUUGGUUGGGUCGUGUUUCACUGGGACAAUUUGGCAUUUUUUAGCUCUUUCACCCUAAUAGCAAACAAAGAAUGUUGGUAUUAAACAUUCUUCUAAUGACCUGUGAGAACUUUUUAAGGUUGGAACUUUUCCAUCACUCGAUUGUCUCACAGAUAGCCUUGUAAUAUGGGAAAUAUGCAGAAAGCUCAGCCAAGCUCCUCUUGGCUAUAGCCAGUUGUGCUGUUUUGAGUUUCAAUGGUCUAACUGCCACUUUACCUAUUUUAAUUCAUCAGCAGAAUGUUCCAAUCAGGACAAUCAGAACCAGGAAACUUCUUCACCCCGUCAUGGCUGAUGUGGAUUAUGGAUGUGUUUCCAUAAGGGAUGUCUACAGGAGGAUCCUUGCACUGGAUUCCCCAGGAGGAGUAAGGAAGAUGUUUGGAUGCAGCGAGCAGAGCCAAUACUAUUUGAGAAGUCAUCAAUAAAGAUACAGCUGUGGAAAGAAAAACAUCGAAUGAUUCAACAAGGCUUGGUUCUUACCUGGAUAUUACUCACCAGUUCAGCUAAACCAGCAGAAGCUGAUUUCAGAUCGCAGACACUCAGAACAAAAGGAUAUUUGGAAAUUUCAGCAUUAACAAGGCGUGAGGAUGGGGACAGAAGAAGCGGCAGGGAUGUGCGCUCCCUCAUUCUGUUUUGCCGGACCGGUUCACAUUUUAACCAUGCAUGCAACCACAGGUAUGAACACAUUUUUCUGUGGGUUCCCGGUGUCAACAGCUGAGCACAUUAGUGUCACUUGUGGCUGCAGCAUCCCUGGCGCGGGUGCCUGUCUAAUGGACAGUGGUGGGAGCCGGCAGACACAAAACCCCAGAGCUGGAGCCCAUCAGGCAGCGAGCGUCGGAUGUGUCAGCUCCUGCUUCUUUGCAGAAAACCUUUCUUAGCGUCUCCAGCCUCAUUGCUCCCAGUGAGUGUGAAUGCCAGCUUUAGUGCCUGCUCCACUUAUUUCAGGUAUUUUUGUGUCAACAUCCCGAUAACAGUCUGAAAGCCUUAUUUUUGCUGACAGUGGUAGGAAAUAUUCUUCGCCUUUGACCAAAUCCUGACUCGCUUUGUUGUUGUUCAGGCAAAACUCUGGUUGAAAAUCCCUGGCUGGAACAAAGAAUGUGAGAUUCAGCCUUAUUGCAUAUUAAAAGUGCAAAAAAAUUAGAACUGUGAAGAUUUUUUUAAUAAUCUGACCCAUCAUUGGUCCCUAAGGAACAAGUGGAAUCCAUGUCUUAGAAUUUUUAAAGACCUAAUAAAUAAUUUGCCAUAACCACAGGGUACCGUGGCAUAAUGGAACUAAGGUAAUAUUUAAUUUGCUUAUUUACAACAUUAAGUAAUAUAUUCUGUUUCUUGUUUUAUAUAUAUGUUAGUAUUUAUAGUGAUAAAUAUUUGAAAUCUCACUGCUUGGUUCUCAACAGACCUUCUUGGUGUGUUUUGGAGCCUCACAUAGUUAAAAUUAUUCCAUUAUGCUAUUAAAGCAUAGAAUGUGCAACAUGCCAUACACCUCAAGGCAUUUCUCAGUUCAUUUUUAUCUUUUUGAAUACCUGUAGCUUCCUUUCUGCACUAACAUUUUACUGCAAGCAUUCUCUCGUAUCUGCCAGUUAACUUUCCCUUGAAGCCCAGUGGCCUUCCCUGCUCUGGUGGUCACUCAUCUCGUCCCUCUCAGAUCUCGGAAGGGGGCGGCAAGCAACAUAGUGAAUGAAAAAUCAAGCAAAUUCACAUCAAAUGGCAGCGUGACCCCCCCCAGGUAAUAAACAGGCAUCAGGUGUAGAACUGUUCUGCACCAUAACUUGUCAUUCUCCUCGGCAUCUGCGCGAGUCCCUUGCACUGAUUGCGCCAAGGUGCCCACUUUGUCCGUGGGCACGUUCAAACCUGAAUAAUUCGGAGUGGUUCUCUGCUACCAGAUCGCCUCUAUUAUGAUUCUUAAUUAGAAAUGCAACGCUAGGUAGAUGGUGGUUGGGGAAAGGAGAAGAGAGGAAGCGAACGGCAAAGUGUAAGUGUUUUGUUGAUGCCUGUAGUCUCGGCUAAAAUCCGGCUCCUGCUGCAUUUCUUCCAGCAGCACAAGCUGAAUCUUUUCCCUCAUUUGAUACAGUGACCUCUCAAGUGCAUCAUUGCCCUGAGGGCUGAGGGCAGUCCAGCAACUGUUAAACCCCUUGGGUUGAUAAUCUUCUCCCACAUUUGCCCUUAACACCAGACAUACCACCAUUAGCUACAGCUCCACUGGUGCUCAUUAGAGCCGAUCAAUAUAGACUAACAUAAAGAAUGCUGCUGCGCCUUCUGUUAUUUUUCAGUUACUGCAGAUUUACAGACCUUCACCUACAAUACAAGGCUUUGCUGCUGUACUAUGUAAAAAAGAAGAUUUGAGACCAAAAAAAAAAACAACCACCCAGACAGUUUUUAUUAGAUGCCUAAAUGUUAUUUAUCUUGCUGCUUAAAAUUCCUUGUUACUAGAAAGUGUACAGAGGAGAUUCUGUACAAAAGUCUCUUUGGAUUAAGUUUCCAUAAAAUGGCAACUUUUACAAAUUUCAGCAGAUGCACUGAUGAACAAAAUCAGGCACAUUUUAAUAUGAAAGAGUGCUUGAGCCUGUAAAGCCUAUGCAAAUGCUCUUGUGAACUUGACCUGAUAUUUUUAAGCCCGUGGAGUCUGUGCUCUUUGCAGUUGGAUAGUGAUUGCAUGGCCAGUUGAUGAAGGUCUAUAUGUUGAAGGCAUAUAUGCAGAAUGGUGACAGCAUUGCAUACUACCACCAGCAGGUGUUGCCAAAGAUCAUAGCAAGAACGGCGACAACAAUUAACAAAUAUAUCAUUCUUUUUCCACAUUUUAUCCCAAAGAGUCUUUCAAAUGAUUCACAUGCCACUGAUCGCAAUAAGAAACAACAAAUAAGCCUCCUGUAUGAAAAGGCACAGAAACCACCUGUCAUCUAUUAGGCAUUUUGCAAGGAAUAAUAUGCAAGUACUCAAUUCAGUGGAAAGAAUAAGGUUUUUUUUUAGUUUGCAUUUGCAUUUGGAGAAAAGGUAGGUCAAAAACUUCCUGGAAUUUACCAAAGGGCAAUGUGAUGCCGAUACAAAAGUUGGGAUUUCUCAUGCUCUGUUUAGUCAGUUUGGUCAUUUAAACUUAGUGGUACUGUUUAGGAUAUAAAUAUAACAUCCAGCCAACUUCAGGGAAUUGUUAAUGAGAUAGAAAACAGAAAUUUUAUUCCAUAUAAGGACAGGUAUUACUUAUCAUGGAUUAACCUACCCACCAAACAGGAUGGUUAAAUGGGUAUAGGGAACAUCAAAGCACUGGCAGAAUGUUGAAUUCCAAUGAAUCAGGAGUAAAAAAGCCUCAUCUACACCAGGUCUUCCCGUACUACUAGGACUUGAGGCUUCCUGUGUCUUACUCAAAAUAGUGGCUUAAGGAGUUCAAAAUCAAGUUUUGAAAGAAAAGGAACUUUGAACUGUGUGUUUGAGCUAAAGAAGUUGUAUAUGGUAAAUUUUACCUGUUUUCAUCAGGUAUAUCAUUCAACAGUUUAACUUUUUUCAUAGUUCCCCGGUGCUAUAGGCGAUUAAAUGCUUCUGUUGAAUAGCUUAUUUAUUCAAGACCUUUCUGAAGAGCUGAAAGGGUACGAGAAUUUCAUUUGUGAAACUAGGGAUUUCUCAAAGUCCAUUAAAGCACCUUUACUUAUAGAAUGACACAACUUCUCCAGAUGCGUCCUUUGCUUUAGUGGACCUAUUUGCAUCUUAGGUAUUACUUAGUGUGAGUAAUGUGGUAGGACUGAGCCCUUGAUGAUAGGCUGAUUAAUGAAAUCCGUUCUGCUGGGUGAACAUAAUGGAAAAUGUGAUUCUGUUGGCUUCUAAAGUCUGAAAUUCAUCUCCAUGCAAACGACACACAUUUUAUGUAUGUCAUAAGCCUUCUACUAUUCUUCCGCUUAGAUGAGGAUUUCAUCCGGUGAAUGGAAGGGUGGUUGUUACAUCCAUUAAUGUCAUUAAAAUGUACCCAGUAAACUCGUUGCUUAUGACAUUGCCUCAAGUUUGAAUCUUCCUCUCAAGAAGAACUUGGAUAAACUUGAGGAAAAACAAUCAUUGAAUCAGAUCUUAAAAAUCUUUUUGGAAAAGCACUCUUUUUAAGAAAAGAAAAUCAUUUGCUUUUAAGCCUUUUAGUGAAAGAACAUUGGCAAAAUCACUUGGUAUGUAACUUACUGAGUUAAAAAUGGCAGCUAAUUUCUAAUUUGCACCUUUCUCACUCAACUUGCUGUUGUCAGUCGUCUUUAUUCAUAGUCUGCUAAAUUAAUGAGCUGUAUGAUCUGAUCUCCCCUGUUUAUUUCCGGGCAACUGUAAAUCUUACCCUUAAACUUCUGGUCAAUUGGCUAUGAGUUCCUUACUUCUCCCAUGAUGUAGACAGAAAAAAGCCAUAUUUUCCAAAUUGUGCUUCAUUUCUGAUAGUUCUUCUCUGAAUUCCCUCCAAGUUUUCUGGCACUCACAUUUCAAAGCGUAGGAUCCAAGUGGGAGCACAUAUCUCGGCAACGCGUUCACGAAUCCUGCUGACAGCAGUAAUAAUUCCUCACCACGCCCCCUCGAUAGUCCAUAAUUUUCAAUAAUAUCACAAUAUGCAGCUAACGGUGACUGUCCAAAUGAGAGUAAUAUAUUGUAUGUUUUGAUCAACAGGGAAAGGUUUUUAGGAACUAUCUCUUGUCAUAGCUGGAUAUAUAUUCCAAGCCCUAAUUAUUGACCAAGUUGGCACUUCAUGCAACAAUGUCUUUGGUUGUAAAUUAAGCUGGUUUUAAUGGUCUGCAGCAAUGCUUUCAAUAUCCUCUUUAGUGCCAAGUUUGAAUGAUGGAACUUGCUAUAGAUGCUGACACUUUUUAUUCUUAAACACCUAACGUGCAAUAUGUUCCCGUGAGUUUUAAAGGGUAAGAGAAAAUGUCAAAAUUGUUCAAAAGUAUCAUGUAUAUUUUUUUACUCAAAAAGUUACAUACUCAAAACUCUAAUCAGUCCACCUGGAUUUAUGAAAUCCCUUGUUAUUAUAGCAGUGUGAAAACUGGACUACAGAUAAAGAAAAUGGUAUUUUUAUAGAAUGGUCCUUUGAGAUGGGGCUGCUCCUCUGUUGUCAAUGGAGGCCAAAGUGCCAGUGGGAAGUGCGGUACAUGACCUCAGUCAAUUAGCAGGGUCUCCUUAAUCUCUUGGGAUUACUUUGAUCUGCAAUAUCAAGCCUAACACCUUAAUGAAAUUUUACAGAUAGUCACAGAAGACAUCCAUGUAGUGCAAAAACAAUUUCAUUUUAUACCUAAACUCCUAACACAUGCUUAAUAAAUCCCCAGAAGGGAAAUAAUAACUAUAACCAUAUUCAACAUAAAUUUCUCCUUUUUUUUUUUUUUUUCUUUUCACACUAUGUUUAUGGCUGAGAAAAACAAGAUUAUAAUAGACGGGUCUUUGCUUGUGAAAACUGGGAACAGAUCAAGCUGCUGAUUCACAUUUUUCUUGUGGAAAACAUGUUAUUUGUUGCUGUUACAUUUUAAAUCUCCCGAAAUAAGGGUGGUGAGCCAAAUCUUAGUUGUAUUUGUUGUGAGAAUGUAUUUCAGAUAUAUGAAAUUUCCACAGCAAAUCACUAUCCUGAUCUGUGUACUCAACCCUACUAAUUUUAACAUAUUGUGCUCAUUCAAGUCUGGUUGCUCUGGUCUGAACAGUUAAUCAGACAACCUGGCCCAUUUCUGAUAUAAUUAUUAAGUAACUACAUGACAAAAAAUUUUUGAUCAUGGGUUGAUUUUGCUUGAUGUUAUCUUAUCUUCUUAUUCAGACCAUUUCACCUAAAGGUCUUGCAGGCCCCAGCUUGCAGAAAUGCAGAAAGGCUUCAAUGGGAAGUUUUGGGGUUAUUUUUUGGGAAAAGUAUCGAGGAUUCCCUGCCCUGAAGUUAAAAAUUGCAUGGAUUUGCACUGUCUGGAGAAGGGAGGGAGCAAAGCAUGGGAUUUAAUUAGGCCAUGUCUUUAUUAACUCAUAUUUUCUGGGAAUUACGCAGUGAUAAUUCCCAUUGUGGCCACCUCCCUCCUCACCAGUGGCAUGUGCUGCUACUGACCCCACGCUUCUGGGUGUCCCUUGGGGUGGGUGGUGAAUCCCAAGGUUUGACCUUCUCCUUUCUGCUGCUUCUUGCCUCCUCCAGCCUUGUUGGCCAUGGAGACCCAGCGAGGUCCCCCUGCAGCUCGUCAGAGUAUCCUGCAGUCAAUCCUGGGGAGAAGGUCCUGCUUCUGCCCUGACCUCCAGCUUCCUUGCGAAAUCUCUGUCUCCAGCUGGGAAUUAAACGAUCAUUUGGGAUGCCUGGUUGCGGAACAGUGGAAAAGAAACUGUUCCAGCCUCUGCCGGGCACCUCAGCUGGUUUGGGGAGGUACAUAGGGGUGCUGGGGGAUCUGCUGCCCUGUGCAGUGGUGGUGGUGGUGGCUCCUCUUUGCCCUUUGCAGGGCCAACCAUCAUGGGAAAUGGCUCAGACAGAAGACAGAGGGUUUGCACACCCUCCCCAGGCUUGCAGGGACAGGAGCCACGUUGAAGCUAAUUAGAUGGCUCCUCUGAGUAAAAUAAAGUGAAUGUGGUCACUUCUGCUGUAGCCACCAAACCACCACAUGAAAAGUACUGUGUUUCAUUCUCUGCUGCUGUUGCUCGCAGGGCAAUCCCUCUGCUUACCUAAGGAAUUUCACCAAGAGCUCUUUUUCUCAGGGUUUGACCUGCAGUUCUGAGGCAAAAUGCAAACCGGCUUUAAGAGGGAAUUUUGCCCAAGUGAGAACUCCAGGAUUCACCACCGAACAUGCAACAUGUCUCCUGAUGCUUUACAUGCAAAACAUAUCUAUCCAUAAUUAGAUGUGAUUAGAGGAACCAGAGACAGUCAAGAGCUGUCUUUUAGAAAUUGCUUUUUUGCAGUCAAAUUAAGGUUUAUUGCUGAGUGUCUUGUGGUUUACACCGACUCUGAUUUGCACAGCUUUAUACCGUUGUUUUGCUUGUUGUGCUCAUAUAGGUAUAUAGCAAAACUAAAUCAGCGCUGUCCACAGGCCCAACAAGUGAGCUUUGCAGUGUGUAGAAUUCAAUGGACAAUCCCUGUAACAUUUUCUGGUUUUUAAUGCAUUCAGUAACUGUAAGAACCUCUUAAAAUUGAACAAGGUUAUAAAACUUAGCUCUAUACAGAUUCCCCUAAUUAACAUAUGACAGAUCCAUGCAGUCAUUCCAUUGCGCUCUCCUCCGGUAACUGCUUAACAUAACUAUAAAACGGCUUCCACGAGGUAGUGCAGACACCGGCUUUGUCUUCGCACACAUCUGUUGCAUUUUUUAAAGGAGAAAAAAAUAAAGUUUUAAUUUUUAAAAUCUCGAUUUUAAUAAUGCAUGAAGAAAAAAAGGGGAAAAAAUCUGCUUUCUUUUCAUAUAGGUCUCAUCUUACACGAUUUGCAGCGGCAUCAACGCUGCUGCAGGUUCGCGUGUUUGUGGGACGUGGGUCUGGUUGGGAGGUUGUUUGUGGGGAUUAAUGGAAGAAUAUGGUGUAUCUCUCUUCAAAUAUUUGAAUCAUUGGGCAAAACUCACAUAAACAGUCAUUUAAUUUCAACAGGAACUCCUCAAAAGCAAAAAUUAUGAAAAUAUCAAAACCACCAAAGCCAUGAAUAUAUUUGAGUGAAUCAGGCGAGUUAGGAUUGCAAACACAUCUGUCAAUUUUUUCCUAAGAGAACAAUACUUCCAUUAACUAUUUAUAGAGUAUUUGGUUUUCAGUUAUUUACCUGUAGCUGCAAUACUGUAAUUAAAGUAUUUUUUUCACAAAUGUUCAUAGGUUCUUCUAAAUUUUUAACCUUUUUGAUCUUCAUUUUCCACAAGUAGCCCUGCAAGAAAACCUCUAAAAGGAAUUCUCAUCAAAACAGGUAUUUGAAAUGAGUGUUGAAGAAUGUGCGAAAAAGUAAACAGUGAAUAUCUAAGUACAAAUUUUGUUAUUUUUAGCUACUUUAAUUGUUACAGUUUGAUAAUUGGAAUUGUUUUAACCAGUUGUUGUUUCAGUUCUCUGUCUUGUUGAUAUUAAGAUUGCACUUCAGAAGUCAUUUAAAUGAUAGCCUUAUUAGAAUAUGUUAUGGAUAAAUACAAUAUUUCCUUUAGAAUUUGCUGUUUUGUUCCAUUGAAAGCAGCACCUGUUCCUGGUGUUGUACAGCGGUAACACCAGGUUUCUGGGUGUUGUAGCCCUUGUAUAAGUGAAGAAAGGAGUUUAUUCACUGCGAGCACAACUCCCAGAAAUUGGGAAUGGGAAAGGAAACCUGAAUGCCUGAAAAAUCAUAAACGAGACAGUGAUGGGACAAGUCCAAGGUAAGGUAAGCAAACUCCAACUCGGAAGAGUAGCACAGAGCAGUAAAAUAAGAAAAUAUAUAUAUACAUAUAUAUAUAUAUAUAUAUAUAUAUAAGCCAAUGGAUGGAGCAUCUUGUCCUCUUGCACUUCCCGAGGUCCCGUGUGACACGGAAGGCACUGAUGAGACCCAGAUGGGAGACGGCAAAGCUCCCUUAAUGACCACAGAUGCUUUCCUGCCUGUAGCCUAAUAGAAGUAGACAGCAAAGAUUCUUAUCUUAUCACGGGGAGCCUGACAGCACAGUAUUUCUCUUGAUGCCGGGAUUAUUUUGUUAUAUAUAUCCAAAAAUUACUCAGAUUCAUAUGGUGUUUGCUUAUGCCUGAACGCUAGCUGUAUUUUGGUUAUACAGGUAAGUCCCAUAUGCAUUUUUAAUUUAAAACAGCCUCAUAUAACAAUAAGAAAGCUUUCAAAUCUAAAUAUGUGAAAUCUCUGUAUAUAGGAUUGAAAAUCUAUAUUCAUUGUGGGGGAAAAAAAAAGAAAAGGAAAAGAUUACAAAAGACCAAAAGCUCUAGGGUUCAAGCUAAUUUUUCAUCUUUUCCGUGGGGAAAAAAACUGGUAAAUGUUAAGAAACACCCUUCAAGAACCUUUAAUUUGUUUUUCACUCUCCAAGAUAUAGAUUUUCUCCUUCCCAUUUAAGUAAAAAGAAAAGAAAAAAUCCUGUGGGUUGUAGAGUCAUUUGAGAAAAUAUAUACAUAUAUAUAUACAUAUAUAUAUUUGUAUAGCUAUGAUUAUGAUGUCAGAUCAGCCUAUCUUCUCAGGAGGUAUUUGUUCCUGUAGAUCACAUAAAUCAAUCGGAGGAUCAGGUCCUUAUUUCAAAAUCUUGGUUUCAUUUCAGUCAGUGGCAAAAUCCCUAUUGACCCAGCAUGGGCCAGGAUGUGGCCAUAAAUAUCCGGUCUUUUGAAGUUGCUGGGAACAGGAUUAGGUCAUUUUAGUUUUGUUGUAGCCUGUGAUGUUGCAUUUCUACAAUUGGUUUUGCUGCUGAGCUGCCAUUGAGUUCAAGCAGAUACAAGCAGAUCCAGCUUUGUUUAUCAGCAAAAUGCAGAAAAAGAAUUAGAACUGGAGCUUAAUCCUAUGUUUUAGCAUGGUCCUAGAUUAACAGAGGUCUGAAUAUGCAUUUUUAAGUGUGCACAGACAUAUAGAUAGUGUAUAUAAACACAUAUAAGUAUGUGUGUGCGUAUGCACCCUGUAAAGAAGAAUUUUAGUAAUGAAGACCAGGGAUUUAAGCAAGUGUAAAAUAACUUGCCUUUUCUAAAGCGAUCACUUUUGACUCAUUAAAAUGUUAGCAUCCAAAGCAUUCUUUGAACAAAUGUCCAGAAAAGUAGGUCUUUUAGUCUCCGUUUUACGGAUGGGCAGACUGAGGGUAGGUGACAAAAGAGGCUGAUGACAGUGGGUCGUUGCCAGCGUUAGCGACAAGAAAUUUCCCAUGGAACUGGUAGCGGUGAAAUGAGGGUUUUGAACCUAUUCAGGGCUGGUGUUUCAAAGUCAUCUGCUGCCACUGGCUGUGGUUUAUGUUCAGCCAGAAAAUGCUGCUCUUGUAGAAUUCAGCUGUAGAGCUUCAGUUGCUGUAGCAAGUGUGAAAUUGUGUAGAAGUUGUGGUGGCCUUAAAUAAUGACAACAUUUUCAUCCUGCCCCAGAGUUACGGGUGUGUGUAUGUGGACAUGUGAGUUUGUCCUUGCAAAUUGCCAUCGCCUUCUCUCUGCUAUAUCGGGGUCAGGAUACAUGUGCAGGAUGCUGUGAGGAAUAAAAUGGUGUGUAUUUCAAUACCUAAGGCCAAACAUCAUUAAAAGAAUUUUCUACAGCAUUUUUCAAAGCCAGUUAGAAGGAGGUUCAGGGCCAACCACAGUAGCCAAUGUCCUUCAAUCUUAAUUUUGUAACAUUAGUUAAUUUAGAUUCUGUUAUGCAACAGACAAUAUCUUUUUAGCUCUACAUGUCUUAAACAUACGUGAAAUGAAAAUAAAAUAUUAUUUCCAUUAAAUGAGGUGCUUUUCUUUCAAUUUGUAUGCCAUAGGCAAAGUCUCGGCUUCCACGUUAAUGAGUUCCACUUGGAUAUUUGGAAGUUGCCUUUAACUUGGCUUUGUUCUCCAGAACUGAUCCACGCAAGUAUUUGCAGCUUCUGCGGGAUUUUACUUGCUCCUCACCUCUGUCUAUGAGUUGGAUUUCACUUUCCCAUUUAUAAUUCACAAAUCGCAGUAGAAUAGAAACAAUUUCAAGACCUUCCUCUGCGUUGGGAAUGAAUUCACGUGUGCAGUGCAACUCAGCAACGGCACCACGCGGCUUCUUGCCCUUGGGGCUGUGGUAUGAAUGAAGGUUGUAAAGUGUAUGAAGAUUUUCAUGGAAAAGGGGACAAUUUUUCAUAAUGGACAGUGAGAAGAAGGGCAUGUGGAGGAAAAUGAGGACAGAGCUGCGAGGUAACCUGGGCUCAGGGGUGGUGGGCCAUUUGUUUUCCAUUUUGAGCUUGUGAAAGGAUUUAGUGAGGUUUCCAAAGCUCUUACGUGACUUAGGAGCACGAGGUCCACUGACUCAGCUUUUCAAACACAGAAAUGAGUUCAAAGCACAAACCCCGGUGCAUUUGUUUGCCUAAGCAACUUCAGGUGCUUUAGGAAACACAGUCCCAUGCUAGCGCUUUCUAGAAAAAAUACAUAGUAAUAAGAUAAAUUAAAGCAAAGAGGUUCAUGCGCCUACUUUGGCAGCAUGAAACUAUUUAGGGGAUGAAUAAAAGGAGAGUAAUGAAAUGAUUCCUGCCGCUGGCCGGCACUCUCGGUUUUGGUAAUACCUCAGUUUUGCAGCGAUUUGGCAAACCUCUUGUAAACGGUCCAACAACACUUCAGCGAAGCCUUUAGAGAACAGCAAUCUGUACAGCACAUUAAUUUGGCAUGUUUAGCAGCCCAGGUCUAGCCCAACGCAGAGGUAGCAUAAAGACUACUUAUACUUACUGUUCCCGGUCAGGGGUUAAAGUCAUUGACAGGCAGCCUUGAAAAUAUGGCAACACAGCUGCCCGUGCACCAUCUGAUCCAAGGGAUGGUGUUCUCCAUGUAGACCAAUAACCGACAUUAAAAAAGGAAGGAAAAGCAGGGGUUUAGUUCUACCUUUUCAUCAUCUAUGCAUUUUUUCUGCGUUAGUUUCUCAUGAACCGGAGGGUGAUGCUCUGGGCAGCGCAGGUUAGUGAGAGGCAGGAGGUGGAUUCUCAGUGUGACCCACUGUUCGUCGUACUUGUCAGGGUACUGGUGAGAAUUAAAGAAGCUUUUCAUGACAAAAAAGAAAUGAAUGAUUUUUAUAUUCUCAGAGGUGAAAUCAAACCAAUCCCAUUAAUUUCAAUUAAAAUGUUACCUGUCUCAAGCUAUCUCUUUUUUUCACCCUCAAAGACUGUUUAGGGAUGGGAAAAAUGAAAUAUUAAUGCAUUCUAUAAAUAAUAUGUGUGAAGUCCGUGGGGACACAGAACCCCCACAUCAUUAGUUAAAUUGAUCUUCCUCUUAGAUUUUGCAGGAAAUCGGGGGGUUGUGUGGCUUAGUUGUCAGGAAAAGCGGUCAAACCUGGGUCUGAACUUGUGUGUUGGAUACAGAGCUGAGGUUUCCGUGUUGUUUUUACACAUUGUCUCACGGCAGAAGUUUCAGGAGAGUCUCUGGUAGUCUGCAUGGUAACUCUUGCUUGUGCAAUGCAUUCUAUUAUGGUAUUUUCCCGUGUCAAGAAUUGCAGGAUUAUGACCUUAAUGGGAAAUAAGGAUCAAACCACAAUUUUUCUCCAUUGCGGUACAUUGCCUGCCUAUCGCGAUUAUAACGCGUUUGCUGUAAUUUUCUUUCUUAGUGCUCCACAGACAAUUUUUUUUGUCAAAUUCUUAUCAAUGUUUUAAACACGUGUGACCCUCACACGGCACGAGGAACUUCUAAAAAAGCAGGAUCUUCAUCUGAUUUCUGCAAGAGCCGGUGUGGGGUAAUUCAGCUGCUUUGGCUCCCUCUUGAAAAUAAAGCACAGUGUGGUCUUUCCCUCCUUCCCCUAAAUGCAGCAGAGAAGAUACAAAGUCUAGAAAUCGUUUUCCCUUUUAUAUAUAUAUAUAUAUAUAUAUAUAUAUUUUGCGAUAACAUAAAGUCACUGCAUGAGCAACCAGCCAUGUUUAUUAAUAGAGAUCUCCAAUUUUGGAAUCUUUGGUAAAUUGAGAACAUACUGAGAAAGAAUCUUAUCACUCGAAUCGUAGGAAAUCCAUUUCCAAGUUGUCUGUUUUUCAUCAAAUUAAAAUUAGUUUCAUGGGAAUAUGAGAAGGUUUUUAUAAUUAGAUAAUGGAAAUUUGCCUAGGUUAUCUUCCACUUAUUUGGAUGGAACAUAAAUAACAAGAAUGUCACAUCAUGCCAGUAUUUACUCAUCCAACUCAGCACAAAUCCUGGGUCAAGUAUAAAAAGAUUGGAAAACAUUUUAGUGCUUGUUGCUUAGAGACCAUUUUUAACCACUGGAAGGAUCUCAGUCAAAUCCACAGUUGCACAGUGAAAAAUCUAAAACUUGUGACUAGUUACCAGCCUCUCUGAAAGAUUUUGCUCAGGUACAACAUUCCUUGGCAUUAUCCAUCAGGUGACUGGGGGUGAUGUUCUCCUUCCUCAGCCAGUACAGAAACGGGAUGGGGGAAUCAUUUGGACAUAUUUCUCCUUUUCAAUUAAAUAUAGUCAGAAAUAAGCAACUCCUGCUUUUGAUUUUUUUUUUAAUUUUAAGCAUUAUGAUCAUCUCUGCUCUCUCCCCUGCCCAUACUUGUAUUGAAUAGUGAACCUGGAUGGUUUAGGUGAAAAUCCAUGAGAUUUGGAGCCCAUUCCAUGGCCAGGAGGUUCCAGCGAUGUCUCGAUGAAGUGGUGGAGAUGGUUGGUGCUGCCAAAGGCGUCUGACAGCCCCCCAUUGACACGGUCUCCUUGAAGCAUUUGUGACUACUAGUGCCACAGCGAACCAUUUUCCCUACAAACCACAAAGUGAGGGCGGUGGAGACAACAUGGAUGACAAAAAGGGUGCGAAAGGGAGCACAGAGGAUGCUGAGAGAGAACCAAACCAGUCCUUUCAGGUAUGGUUUUAUUUUUUUACCCAAUUAAUACCAAAGAGACAAAGGGCUGAAUUCUGCUGCUGAGGAGGCACAGGGGGAAAACUCCCAAUUUGCUGCAGGUCAGUGAUGGGUGAAAAUCAAUGUACAGCCUCAGUGGUGUCUACGGUGGGUCUGGGGUCUUCUGCUCCCCACCAGCACCACCGGUCAUUCCCUCCUGCCCAUUACGCUAUGGCCAACAUCUGUCCUGCACAAAGAGAGGAGUCAUUUCAUCCACUUCAUCGGUGGCAAAAUGGAGGCAGGGAGGAGGAAAGUGGGUAUUUUUCCCCUCCCUUAUUUUUCCUUUUUUCCCAGCACACAAAGCUAGGCAGCAGUGGAGUCUCCUGCCUCGGUGUCCUGUGUGGUCCCAGCUAACACAUCUACUGGUUGGGCUGGAAUGCCUCUUCCCAUUUCCCUGCAGAACAGGGUCUUUAAUAAUCUCUUCAUUUGAAUUUAAACAGUGUCUCAUCCUUGUUGGGGCUAAUAUUAUCCGAAAUGGUACAGCAGGAGACCCCGGUCUCCCCAGACAGCUCUGGAGAUUGCUGGCAGGGGAAUUACCCUAGAUAUCUUUUAGCGGAAGUUCAAAUGUCUAUUAAAGAGGGGCAAAGAACAUGUAACCUUGGGUGAACCUUCAGUCAAAUCAUAUUAAUUGUCACAAGGUGGGUUGCAAAAGAGAGUUUUGUGAUCAUUUGCACAGCGUGCAUGAAGUAAAAGGUAACAUCUUAUGUUCUUUUCAAGUAAGAGAUAUAAUUUAGGCAGCAGCACGACCAGUGAGUGGGUUGCUCACAGUAUGGUAUGGUGUAAUGAAGAGAAACUGUGACAUCACAUCCCUCCCAAACAAAUACAAUGUAAUAUCCCAAUUAGCACAACCAUUUUCCUCCUGAAGUGUUAAAAAAGUAUUUUUUCCAGUAAUCCCUUUUUUCUAAUACAGGAAGUUUAACAUAAUUUAAAAACAAAUGUUCCGUUGGGUAAAAUGGCAUGUGUUUCUGCAUGCUCCUAUUAGGCAUUAAUCCUCAGAUGAUAUUUAUGUGACCAUUUCUUUUCAGGCACCCUAGAUUCAUUGCCUGAAAACUAGGAAAUAUCCCCAAAAUACGCCACCCAACUACAGCAGGAAGCCUUUCCUCCUGCAAAAGAGCUGGAUAAUGGAACUUGUACUAGGGAAUCUUGCAGAUCCCAGCCAAGCCAUUCAGCUCUUUGAAUAUACGGGGAAAGUUUUACAUCAGUGACUGAAGAGACACUAAAAUUAAAUAAACUCAGGAAAAGAGCAUGUCCUGCAUGAUAAUUUUCAGUGGAGCUUGAAGUAAAUGUAUAUAACCAGAUUUUAGGUAGUAUUCAACACCUGUCCAUUCACGCUGGUAAGACUAAGAGCUUUUCCACAGGUUUUGCAUACUGGGAGCUGUCGUUUCUUUUUUUAUCCCUAUAUAGACUGUCAGGCUUUUAUAUAUUAAGCACUGAUUGCUUUUGUCUUCCUUUAAGAAAUGCCAUCCCUGCAAACACAUCAUCUCUCGGUGCGUAUUCUGCACAUGGAAACAGAGUCCUUGGCGAACCGGCACGUGGAGAAUGCAAAACCGUAUUGAUAACUAAAAGCAGCUGGGGUAUAGUCUUAUCUUCCCCUUUGUGAAUCUCAACAAUUAAUAUAUUCUAUAUGCUUCUCUCUCUUUCUCCCAUGUCCCAUUUAUUUAUUUUUUCCCCCCUUGCCCUAAAUUCUGCAUGCCUACCCCCGGACACGGGAUUGGUGAGAGGAGUUUAAAAUUAGUGCCUAAAGGCAAAGAAUUUCCCAACCAGUGCCUGCGCGAUGCUCGGAACGAUCCCCAGCACUGGGCUGGAGUGGAAAGGGGAGCUGGUGGCAUUUGCUGAAUCGCGCCUGACAUCUAAUUAUGUCCCGGUCCUUGGCAACAGCUUGAAGAUAACCUGCCUCUUGCCAAUCAUCCUGGAAAACUGCUGCUUCUUCUCCUCGAUGCCUUUAGAGGUUUCUGCAGCAUUGUGCUCCCUUUGCAGGUUUUUGCUGCCAGGUACACGGUGGACCUGUGAUCAUCUUGGAAAAAGACCCGUUUUGGGUCUUGGGAAUGUGCAUAUGUUCCAUUUUUACACCUGUUUUGUGGCUUCCUGAGUUUUCUCUGGGAGAGCAGGAGCAGAAGGGGAAAAUAGUUUGCAGCCACUGCAGAAAGUUGCAUUUUUUGCCUUAUAGUACAGCUGUCACCUCUCAAGCAAAUACAAUUACCUGUUUCCUAAUUAGGACAAGUUUGAAAGAGAUUAUAUGAGUCACUGGGAAGUUAUAUUUUAUCAUUUACCCCAGAAUAGCUCUAUAGAUUCAUAAAUGUUUUCCCUACAGAGAAAACCUUGAAUUUAUGUGAAGGUCGGAUAACUCUGGCUCUUGAAUCAGGUUGGAGCGCAGGGCGGAGGCUGCUGUGCUGCUGCCUGGGGUGGCUUUCCAGGCAUUGAUCACCAAAGAAUCCGGCAAAUUACCAUGUAAAAAGAGGAAUAAGUGCAAAAUAAGGAAUGAUAUAAGGAAUAAAAAUCUCAUUAUCCAAAAAUAAAGAUAUAUGGGAUGAAAUUCCAGUGUGAGCUUCCAAAUAUAUAUAUAUAUAUAUAUAUAUAUAUAUAUAUUUCACCUAAGUAAUUUUCCUUUGGAAUUUUAUUCCUGAGAUCAAAAGUUCUUACAGGCAAUCUUUUAUUUUUUUUUUUAAAUACUAGUAACAUGCCAGGCUAACGUGUUACCAUACUGAAAGAACAAUGAAAUGAAGAAAGGAUAUUGAAAUUGUCAACAGAUAAAAAGUCUAAUAUUAGGAAAAUAUUAUGGGUUUAGAGGAAAUUUUAUUAAUGUCACGUUUUUCCACAGCUGCUAUUUUCAGGGUUUUUGCAUAGUCGGUAAAGUUUCAAUUCCCAGUUCCUAAAUAUCUCAGGAUAUCUACAUCUGGUAGACACUGGAUUUGUGAUGAGGAGCUCACUUGCCCACUAGACCUUUAACUGUGUGACUUAUACCAGCGUUUCAGGUACGUCUUGUCAGUCUGCUGAUCUAACAUGUGCUGCUGGUGUUCCCUUCUCAAUGAAUAUUUUGGAUGCCACCUCCCUCCAUAGCUGAUGCUCAUUUUGGUACCCAGUUUUGUGCUGUGCGCUCCAUUAAUUCCCAGUUUGUGGCAAUGAAGCCCUUUAGAGCCAGAAGAGUUGAGGUUUUUGUGCCGACGCUGAUGUGCUGCUCUCUGCGUAGAGGGGUAGGACCUGCUCACUACCCUGAUUGACUAGGAGAGUGUAGUGGUAUCUUUCUUAAUUAGGGGGAACAAGUCCUUAAUUAGAGUUUAAUACACUCAAAUAUGGAAGGGAUGGAACUCAAGUAUUGUUGUCAUUGGGGAGACUUCUGAAUGCAAGAGGUAAAGGAGGAAAUAAUUACUGUUAUUCUUGCUCCUUUCAAUAUAUCAUAGGCAAACCAUAACAUUUUAAUGGAAAAAAGCAUGUGUUUUUCACCAAAAUUAAGAGUUUUGGUUUGUGGGUUCAAAAUAUGGGGGACAGGAUUAAGGUUAGCUUUUUCUUUCCUUGGGGAUCAAAGACGUCGUUGCUUGCACGUUGGAUUUCAAGUCUGCUCGCUGUAAGUUUUUUUCUUUAUUUGUAUUUUUAUACUAAAGUUCUUUUAAGCACUCUAUAACACAUUAAGUGAGAAAAAACUGCUUAAAAUUCUGAUGGCUCCUCCUUUUCUCUGCCUUUACAGCUCAGAAACAAGGAAGAUAUAUUGUUUUGGACAUAGUUUAAAAAUUGUUUUGGUUAGUUUUGCUGCUAAGUUUUGAAGUUACCCUUUCAUCUGUUCAUGAAGAAAAUCUAAAGCUGAUUUCUGAAUGGAGGGAGGGAAGAAGCCACCAAGGGAAGUGAGAAAGGGCAACCAGAAUGGUUCGUGUACAUUCAUAUGGAGAAAGAUCUUUCCAGAACCCACCUGGUUCUUUUGUUUUGGCUCAAAGCUGGUCUACUGCUAAAGCUUGAAUUAGUUCAUGUCGUGUUUGAGAGUGGUAAGCUUGACUUGGAAAAAAAGUAAUGGCAGUUAUGGAAAGUUAAUGGUGGCUCUUGUGCUCAGUUUGAACAAAUGAAAGAUUGGGGUGAGUUUUCCUUGUUUGGUUGGCAAAGAGGGAAACAAAGUCACAAAUUAUACAGUAACUAAAGGAGAGCCGUGAAUUACUUAGUGGCUUUACAAUAUCGUUACUGCAUCACCCUCUGCAGAGCAAAUUACAGCAUUACAGAGAUAUAGAGAGAGCUUUAAGAAAGGAAACUCAUAAAGAGAAGGAAAUAGUAUGUAUCAAAAAAAAGAUAUGCCACAUUAGAGCUAUUCCUCUUUCUGAUGUGCUGCUGUUCACCAUUGAAGAAAACAGCAAAAGGUACUGAGAAGUAGGCACUAUUUGAAUAGAUCUAGUCAUCAACAAAUAAUUGUGUUUUAAUUAAAAUGUGUCAUGUCAUUCUGCCAUUCCUACAUUACAUGAGCGUGAAAAUGUAUGAAGGAUAAUGCAGUAACAAUUAAAAUGACAGUUUCCCAACUCUUAAAUUUAAAUGGUUGGCAAUUAACUGCCUGAUAAAUCUCACUUUUCUGUGUGUGGUGUUUCCUUUCUUUCUGUGAGCAUUAAAUUGUCCUAAUUGCUGAUAUUGCAUAUUCCUCGACUGUUGACAGUUUUCUGUUGUGUCAAACAGUUCUAACUUGCUCCAAGUAUUGCUUUAUCUUUGCAUGCAGGUCAAAGAUGAUAUAUUCCACAUUUACCAAAUGGAGAGGUCAUGAAAUCCUAGCGCCUCAAAGACACAGAUCUGAUAAAUUGUAAAGCACAAGCCUUGUACACAAAAGAAGAAAAUAGGAGAUGUAAAUCCCUCAUUUCUGCUUCUUGGGGAAAAGUUUCUUUAUAAAACAACUGCUGUGUUUGGGCUGAUUGUUAUUUUUUUUAUGUGAAUCCUUGUAGAUUGCAAACAAAAGCCAAACUGCUUACAAAAAAAUUAAAGGAAAAGAACCACCAACAAUAUUUGAUAGAACAAAAAAAAAUCAGGUUAGUAACAAAUAAUUGGGUCGUGGUUGUGGGAUUAUUGUUUAUGUUUGUCUCCUGUUUCUCAGUCCAUAUAUUGUAUUUGGAACAUGUUUUUAGGAAUUUUUGCAGCUAUGUGGACUGCUGAUUUUCUCGUUAAUCUGAAGGAAGGCUCUGAUUCUCAUUUAAUUGCUAGUUUCUUCUAAUCUCUGCUUGUGAAAACAGGUUUUAAGAAAAUCUCCAGCCUCAGUCACACUUGCUAUAACAUUACAAAACUUGGCAACCAUUGAAAUAUUUGCAGAUAUUUUUCUUGCCAGUUUUUUCUCAGUUCUGCUUGCAGCCAUCAGCAGGGAACCUUUUGAGGUACAACUACUCCCUAUGUAAAAUCUUCCCGAGCCCGGUUCAGAGCUGGUGGGUGCAAACACAACGGUAUUGACUUCAGCAAUAAAAAAGGAAAAGAAAGAAAAAGACAAAUGUCGUUAUAAACCCUUACGUAUACCUAGGUUUUGGUUUUGUGCUGUUUUUGUGUUCCUGCACAGGGAAGUGCAGACCAAGGGUUUUCUUCAUUGCGGCUACAGGAAAAUCAACGCACAAUCCUUAUUGCUUAUCUGGGGAGGCUGCAAUUCAAAAUCAGGUGUUGUUGCCUUUUUUUUUUGUAGCCUUGUGCUAAGGAUUUAAAAUCCUUUUGGAGGCUUCCUAGCAGUGGUUUGUUAAUGGUCUUGUGUGUUGUUACCCACCUCCGAGGAAUUUUGAUCAGCUGAGACACAAUUCCCCCAAAUACAUUGGGAAAAAAUCAGUCGAAACGGUCACGCGACAGAUCAAACGAGAAUUUGUCUUGGAAAAAGUCAGCAUCCAGGUUGAUGUGUAUUACUCCAGCUCAUCCAUCCAAGGGUUUAGUAAAGGUAACGUGAAAAGAAUUGGGGUGAGCAGCCAGCAGGAAGAGUUAUGGGGCGAUGACGAGAAUCUUUCCCCAAACAGAGUCCUUGAGACAGGAAAACGCACCAGCAGAACUGACAAGUUCUGGGUUGCAAGGCAAAGAAGAUCUUUUUCUCUCUCUCCUUUUUAUUUUAAUUUUUAUUUUUUAUUUAUUCUGUUUAUUUAUUUUUUCCCCUCCAGCAUCAAAAGCACAACAAGAGGCAGAAAAGUUUGAAUUUAGGGCAAUAAUUUUUUCUUACUAAACACAUUUAUCCCAGUAGCUGUUGCCACCUCUAAAUUAGGUGUGCUGAGCCGUGGGUAUCCUGAAAAUCUCAUGGCUGGGGAAGGAAAGCUGACCAAAGGAGAUAGUGGUGGCAGGUUCAAUUCAACUAGCUUAACGUGGCCACGUGAAAAUAUAGGAUACAUAUUGCUUACACUUGUGCUGGGUAGGUUGAUGAGAAAAUAAUUAUUUAUUCAGAGAUAAUUAGCAGUUUUUCCUUUUUUGUUUAAUUUAUUUACUUUCUCCUUAUUUUCUGCCUUUUCUCUUUUUCAGCCAUCUUUUAGCAAUGUAUAGUAUGGGUGUAUAGUUAAAAAUUCGGCACCAGCUGAAGCACUGAUUUGAUUAUUGUUAAUUUGAUGUCAUCUGUCAGUGAAUGGUGAAAAAGUGGCUGUUCCUCUGCGCAGAGGCUCUAUCUAGUACCUGGAAAAUACUUAUUACCAAAUUGCUUAAAAAUCACAGCUUGUUUUUGCAUGACAAGAUGUUUUUCUGUUGGAUGAACGGCUGUGCAUGGGUGAGAUGGAGUUGCAAGUGGGAUGUUGGCAGGAACGAGACAGAUGCAAUAAAGUGACUUGUUGAACACACUUGUUUUUGGGGCCAGUGUUUCCAAAUGCACUUAAAUAAAGGGAAAUAUAGGUAAUGCAAUUUUGUAGUCCUUGUUUGUAAAUGGUUUUUCUGUGCAUUUGUCUCUCUCGUGCUAACCUUUCAUAUCCAUUGUGUUGACAUAUGGCUUCUAGAAUAAAAGAUGCUCCAGAAUUAGUAGAUAAUUUCUGAUUUACAGGAGGUGCCAUCACCUCCACCCACACUUGGAAAAAACAGUGUUUUUUCCACUGGGAUCUAGUUUGAGAUGUGGGUGAUGAAGGGGACAAGCUCCUCCAAGUGUCCCUUUGUGAUAGGGAUUUGGUCUCUGGGUGGAAAAGGUAAUGACUGGAAAGGACGGGGUUUAGAAGCAUCUUCUAUGGCUUAAUUGAAGAAGUGGUGGCAUAAAAAUGAAGGAGGGUUUUCCCUGCUAAGUGUGAGUGGUGGGUUGUGUUUGUCAACCUGUGAAUUAAAUAAGGUAAAGCACAAUUUGGGUCAAAUGAGUGAUGUAAAAAUGAAGCAUUUUGCCUCCUUAUUUGAAAAGGAACUUAGAGCAAGUCAGAAGAUGACUCUCCAAGGGGCCAACACCACCACAAGAAUUGAAGUAUGUCUUCUCUUCCUGACUUUUCCACCAACCACAGGGUUUUCAUAUUAAAAACCAAACAAAUAGAUCUGGCUAGAAUUAGGCUGACAAACAAAUGCAAAUUCAUGGCACACAAAAAAACCCCUCUAGAGCAUAAAAGAGAAAAGCAUCCUGCUGGUUUGCAAAGGGAGGGAUGGCUCAAGGGCUUUAAUUUUUUUAAAGUAGAAAUAUAUCGCAUUUUAGUUCUGUUCUUUGCAGUGGGAGGAUUGCUUGAGAGCUGGAGGUUGUUGAUGUCCAGGCCAAUGCGGGAGGGUGGUUGGUCCACCUGUCUGUCCGUCCUCCUCUCUGGUCUCCUCCAGGCCCAGGUGGGCAGCCCUUGGGGGCAACAGGGUGGACAUGGAUGCAGAAAAGUGACCUGGAAAUACCUUUAUUUCUGUUGAUUUGGGGCCAUUCCACCUGCCCUUCCUCCCUGGAGAUUUACUGUGUUAAAUUUUCUCUGUUGUCUAAAGGCUCUGAACAAAGGGAGAUUUGUAGAAGAUUUGUAUGAGGCAAGGGCUCAUAUUUGGUCUAUAUUUCAGAGAGGUAAAAUAAAAGGUUGAACCUGGUACGGAUAAACUGCUAUGGGAGUUUUCCUGGGUACCCAUGGCAUAUUUCUUUUGUGAUCUUCCAGGAGGUGAAGGGUGAAACUGGAGCUAUAUGAAGAACAAUUUGUUUGCUCUUAACAGAGGUGCAGACAGAUGAAGCUGGUGAGCAGAAUUUCUGGGGCUUUCACUUUUUUUCUUUAAAAAAAAACCCUCCUCAUGUGCUUAUCUGGAUGAAACCCUUGAUUCUUCCCUCUGCAGAUCGGUAAAACUUCCUAAAAAUAGUAAUUGCACUGGUGUUGUGAGAUGAUGCUUGUAUUCUGAACAUAAAGCCUUCAUGAUCAUAGAAUGAUAGAAUAUAGUUGGGGUUGAAGGGACCAUCCCAGCUCCCCCAGUGCCCCCCCUGCCAUGAGCAGGGACAUCUUCACCAGCUCAGGGUGCUCAGAGCCCCAUCCAGCCUGGCCUGGGAUGUCUCCAGGGAUGGGGCACCUACAAAUGAUUACAUAUUUUUACUUACAGGUACAUAUAAAUGCAGGAUAAAUUAAUCUGUCUGGACAUACUGGCCUUGAAAAGGCUUGUACUGAAAGCAAUUAGUUUGGGUUGUCAUUCUGUCCUAUUUUAUCCAUACAUCUCAUGGAAGGUUUAACAAUGGCCUUGGUUUAUUUUGGUUAUUUUUUCUUUCCACGUGUGCAACACAAUGGACAGGAAUUUUAUCAACAGUGAUAGAAACUGUCUUCCCAGAUUCACAGUGUAGAUGAUAGAGGAAGGCUUCCUUGGCCAAAAAAAGGGCUACGUGCUUUUAGUUACUGUCUCUGUAUGUCUUUGCUGCCAUAAAGAGCUUUUUUCUACUUUGUUCAGAGGUCAGUGUGGACUGUCCACCUCUUUCAUAGACGCAGAGGACUGUCUUUAGUGGAAGGUGGUGGGGAAAAAUGACCAUUUUGAACAGCCGGAGCUUUCCUGCUGCUGGGGAGGUUGUGAGAUUUUUCAGUGCUUGUUCAGUUUUCCAAGCAUUAAUUGCAGAAUUCACUCACAACCCUAUUUUUAUUUUAUUUCUUUAUUUCUUUUUGUUUGUUUGUUUUUAAUUCAUGGGUUCAGAGGAAAAGAAACUGUGAUUUUUCUAUGGCUUGAAAAUAGCCAACAAGGGUCCUGUUAGCCAUUGGUAUGUGCCAAAACAUCUCUCUGCAAAUCCAUGUCACCACACAUCUUCCCUCUGCACAAAACCGGGCAUUAACUUGCAUCCUGAGACGGUGGUGGUUCUUCCUUGGCUUGUGAGAUUGAGUUAGCAAAGUCAUCACAACCAUCUCCUUUCCUGAAUUGUGUGGGAAUGGGACAUAUGGGACAUCUGAAAGGCUGGAGGGGGUGGUGGCACCUUCAGGACGAAGGGUCUGUCCAGAUUGAGGUUUCACAGCCAGGGGACCACCAGCUUCUCCUUAAAACUCUGCUAGGCAAAAAUCUUCAAAUACCGGGUAAGAGAAAAAAAAAAUAUCAUAAAACUUAGUUAGCAUUAACUAAUUAACUGUAAUAAUAUCACUUAAAAUCAGUGCCUGGAAAUAUAGUAUCUUUCGCCCUGUACUAUGAUAUGUAUAGGUGUUGUCUUUCAUGCAGCUAUGCAUCCAUUUUGAGACCUGACAGUGAUGGUCAGUUUUUAAACAUUUAAUUGCUGCCAUUGUUUUACUGAAGGAAUUUUGCAGCCUUGCUUAGCCAGCUGAUCCCUCACAGCAGCUCCUAUUCAUUGCAGUGAUUUAGAUAAUAAAAAAAAAUCAUCUAUAAUUCAAAUUUUUUAUUAUUCUAUGUAACUUCUUACUAUUGAAAGAGCUUAGUAGAAGUUGAACUGUCAAUACCAUAGAAGCAUCCAUACCAGUAAUCAAAUAUACUUCGUAUUUUGCCAGGUGUCCUGGGCUCUCACAUCUGUCAUCACCACCUGUGAUAGUUUUCCUCCUUUUUUUUUUUUUUUUGCACUAAAUAAUCUGUUAGAAUUUUUGUUUUUAAACUAAUUUUUUGGUUUUUAGUGAUUUUGAAGAUACCAGCGAGGAGGAUGGGUAAUUUUGCACCACGCAGGCUUUCUGAGCACAGCGAUGGUCAUCGUGGAGCCUCAUAUACACAACUGCACAGAGCUGCUCUCCAUCAGGUGUGUCAUUAACAAUGGACAACCACAUGGAUGUAGAUGAGGAUUUACUGAAUAAGUAGAUGUAUAAGACUUUGCAAUUCUCUGUCACAAUCAAAAUGGCCUCUGUCAGAGCACUGGAUGCUGGCAAUGAGCCUGUUUGCAGGAUCCUCAUUCCCAGUGGUGAUGGAUGAGCCAGACAAGGACCCAUCCUGACUCGCGUGUCCCAGCUUGAGUGUUGAGGCUGCCAGGCGGGAAAAGCCAAGAGGGUGACGUUGCCUUGCUGGACGCUGUGCAAAUUUAGUCAAGAAUUGCUGAAAGACAGUGAACAGAGAAGACCAUGAUUCUGCAUUUCCUAGGUUUUAGAAAACUGCUACAUUUUAAAAAGUGUAAUAAAUACAUUUAUUUCAUUUUUUAAGAACACUGAGUAUGUCAGAUAUCACAUCUAUGUGAUAUGUCAAUACUGCCUGAAUGAUUUUGGCUGGUAGUUAGAAUCAUAGAAUGGUUUGGGUUGGAAAGGACCUUUAAAGAUCACCCAGUGCCCCCCCUGCCAUGAGCAGGGACAUCUUCACCAGCUCAGGUUGCUCAGAGCCCCGUCCAGCCUGGCCUGGGAUGUCUCCAGGGAUGGUUCAUCCACCACCUCUCUGGGCAGUCAUCAUUACACAUUGAGUAUCUCUUGAACGUGUCCGUACUGAUGAUUUUAAAGACCAGGAUCAGGAAACAUCAGCAGGGCUUUAGCCCGAACUCCCGCGUGCCCUGGUUUGCCAGUAUCGACACAAGGAGCUGUUAAACCACCCUUGUUUCCAAGGAAAAAAAGUGAAAAUGUCAACAUUGGUGGCUUUUAAAGGCAGGGACGGGAGUGAAGCAGACACACUCAUGGGCUUUAGUACACCUGAUCAUAGACCCGCUUACACAAAUACUUUAAAAAUAGUCAACUCUUUUAUACACCAUUAGUUACGAGGUAUGUAACUAACGAGGAAAGGUGUUUUGAGGUAAAAGGGUGGCCCUAGUCCAGCCUAUUUGUGAGAAGCACUUUCUUGUCAGUUUGUGGGGAAUUUACCCCGCUGAUUCUUGGAAAUGCAGUUUCCAAAACCUGUUUCCUAUUUGCUCCCUUGCCGUUGCAGAAGAAGUGCUGAUGUUCUUCAGCACCUGCCAAAAUACAAACGUAAUAUUCAUUGUGCACUUGAAGGGUUGCUGUAUCCCUGCGCCGCUGACACUGGUCCUUAGACGUAAAUGAGACACCUUUUCUUAUAAAGCAUAAGAACUAUUUGCAGCUAAGUUGGACUUAAAAACAGGAUUUUUUUUGGCUGAUGCAUUAUGGUGGGGAUGGGUGUAAGAACUUGCUGAGAAAAAUGUGCAUUUGCUCAGCUCCUUUUUGGAUUGGCUGGGUCUCAGUUUCAGUGAUGCUGCAUGAUUCUGUGCUGUAAAAGGGAAUUUUAGUACUGUUUUUGGUUCCGAUAAGUUUAAUAUGGGCAUCUAUUAAUUUGCUUUUGGAGAUGCUAACUGUUAUACAAAAACUGAGCAUUGUGAUGGAUUUUUACACGUAGAAAACUAUUCAGGAAAUUCUGUUUUUAAAAGGGCAAACCUUAAAAAUAAAAAGUCCUAAAUGUGCCUUGGUUGAGCUGUUUAAAAUAUGACACAUCCCCUAAAUAUGUCACGUUUAUUUUUGUAAUAUUAUAAAUAAAAAUGUUGAGUGAGAAAAUAAUCUCUUUGCUGUACUUGGGAGCACAUGCUCUGCCAGCAAAGGUCUCUGUAAAUAGCAGAGGUCAGAACUGCUUGGGAUCUCUCCACCACCAGCCUGAAACAAAGAAAUACAUUUUUAUGUGUACAUUACAUAAAACAUACAUAGGUAUUCCUCCAUGUAUCGUAAAUCCUAUUCACUACGAUAUGCCAAAAAAAUCAGGGGGAAAUAUCUGUCUGUUAAACCCCUUGGCUAUUGUUUCUUAACGCUGACAUAUAGCUAUAUGUGCUUUAAGGUUAGGGAUUUUAGCCUGGGAAUCUUUGGCAAAUGCUUUUGGAUCGAAACCCUACAGCUGAUUGAAGUGGGUUUUCCAUGAGAAGAGGUCAGUUUUGAUAAAUCUUCUCACUUCAGGGAAGAGUUGAAGUGGUCCAAAGGUCCUUUUUCUAGGUUUUGAUAGAAUUUUGGAUUCUAAACAACUUUCUCUGUUUGUUUAAUACUGUUAACUUGUUGAAAAAGGAAAAGAAAUAAUCCUGGACAUAUAUUUUUUUUCCUUUGUAGACUUUUUCUCUGUUAUUUUCCUAAUUCCGCAGUAACACAGGAAACUGCUCUCUUGCUGUCUGAGUAGGGAAGAAUUUGUUUCUGCUUCUCCAGCCUUUAUUCUUAUUUGAAAGAAUUAAGAAUAUUUGAGUUUAUUCACUUUUUAACCUGAAAAAUUAUCAUCAAGCGGCUUUAAAUGAGCUCACGUUUGUUGCAUAUUCUCCACAGUUUUGCUUUGAAGUCGUGUGUUAUUUUAUGUUGCUCUGUUAUCAUUUAUUUGGAUAUAUAGCCCACCAAUUACCUGUCACAUGUCUCUGUUUUUCCCCAUUUCCAUUUAAUUCAGCCGAACUUUCUGAGAUCCUCCCUAUUCCUAAAACCCUCUUACUCUGGUGAUUUCAGGAGAAAAAAGUGAACAGAUUGUGGUCUCAACUGGGGCAAAUACAUUUGAAUUGGGGAAAAAAGGAUUGCGGAAGAAAAUGUAGUGACAGCUUCCUAUGCUUUUCAUUGCAUUUCAUUCCUCCACGCUUUUCAUUUUGGAUGUUUAGAGCAUCACUCUCAUCAGAAGGGAAAGAGGAGCUGCUCCUCUGUGGCUUUAAAAUGUUGGCAUUAAUGGUCAUAGUAUUUGGUACAUAUUCAACGUUGUGGUGAUAAUAUUGUGUAUCCAAGCUGGUUUUGAUACCAGCCUGUGAGCAGUGGCACAGGAGGUGGAUGGAGAACCAGUACAUCCCACCAACACUCAAGUGGUGAAGAUUUUGCUGGGGGACCCCGAGCCCUAUGGAGAUGCAGCUUCUGGGCACUCAUCCGCACAAUUCGCACUUACUCGACUUCUCCCAGAUUGCAGUUGGUAUAAUCCAGUCAACUUAAAGUGUGUUUAAACUGCUAAUGCACUGGGUCAUUGAUUUUAACAGUGUUCUUACUACUACGUUUAAUUAUUGUACAAGCUGUUAUUUAAGAGCGCAGUUUCGGUGGCGGGUUGUAAUAAAUGAAACAACCCGGUAAUGUGUGUGAGGCUCUAGUGAAGAGGUUUUUAUGGUGAGGAGAGAGGCUGUGUGCAUGCAUGGAGUGUGCUCCAUGAGCAUGGUGGUGAGGUGGGAUAUUGAGUGACAAGUAUGUGAUGCUGGGGCCUCCUGAACACUGAUGGUCUCCACCAGUAGUUACGAGUGGAAACCAAACUCAAGUGAAAUGAAGUUCUGCUGAAAAAACAAAAACACCCCACCAAAAAAACCAAAACAACACUACCAAAAUAUUAAGGCCUCCAUGGGUGCUUUAGCAUUGCUUCUGUAGCAGCAGGAUGGGACUGGCCCUGGGGGAUGUUCCAUCUCGGGAAGAAAGGUGCAUGGAGCUCACAGGAGGACCUUCCCCUUCUUCUGGUUGGUGUUGGUGGAAAUGCUCCUCUUUUCUCUCUCAUUUCGCAUCGCCCUGACUUUUGAGAAAAUACCUCUCAUCCACCUUGUUUGUUGGACACCUCAGAAGGGAAAGUACUUUAGCAUGCUGGUGAUGCUGGAAAAAGUUGAAAAGGGGUAUGGUAGAAAGUGUCAGAUUGGAAUUCUUUUGAAAAUUAAGCUGUAUUUCAGAUAACCAAACAGUUCUUUUUGAAUCACAGGGAGACUGAAGGACUCUGCUGUUGUAUUUAGUUUUGUCUGUAUUGAGUGUGGAGGGUUUGUUUGGGGUUUUUUUGUGUGCUUUUUUUUUGUGUGUGGGGAUUUUACAUCCAAUAUUCAUGGCAGUUGCUGCUCAAAAGAGUUUGUUUUGAAAUUUGUUUUACUUUGCGUGAAGGGAUUUGUAAGGGAUUUUUAUUUUCUGGCGUGACAAUGAUUAGUUGAGGUCUGGUUUGGAUGCUGACACUGUGGUAGGACAGAAAUGAAGUGCUUUGGGAAGGAGAGGGGCGAAGGAAAGUGCUUCCUUUCCAGCUUCUCAUUCAUACUUUAUAUUUUUCACCCCAUCCUGAGGAAGAUUAAUUCUGAUUUAUGCACCUUCAGGGUCAGUUGGUGAUCGGUUCGGCUUUGCUCUGGGACUGUUGGCAAGCAGGGGGUUGUCCCAGCCUUGGAGCAGAUGGGGCACCCAACACCUCUUGGGCAGCUGAGCCCCAUGUUGAGCCCCCACCUCUGUCUGUGGAGAAUAUGACGCUGUUCAUCCCAUGGUGUUCUCAUGGUUUUGUUUUAAUUUCCCUAUUCCACCGGGAAACGCAAUACAAUAUAUGUAUGACACGAGGCUCUUUGUAUUUCUAGAUUAGAGCAAUAUCACAGGAACAAGAAGGGAUCGAUGCUUUCGUGAACAGGCUCCACGUCUUACGGUGGUACAAAGUAGCUGAGAUUUAGUCAGGGAAGAGGAGCCGUGUGACAGCCCCUCGGAGUGGCUCUAAGUAGACGUGAUGGGGCAGGUCUGGUGUAAGAAGAGCUUGUCAUGAUAUCUGGUCUCCCACCGAAACUCCUCCCGAGCCCCGCCGAGCAAAUUGACAGGUAUUUCUUUGCAUCAAGAAACAGGUAAUCCGCAGAUAAUCCAAAUACCUCUGGACCAAUUACAGCUGCCCUCAGCGAUCUCUUCCCCAUUGGGAUGAAUAUGUAAGCUUUUGGGAAACUUGCAAUCAGCCACCAAAAAUCUAAAUAUAUUCAUCUGUCUUUGAAACGGCUUCGCCGCUUUGAACUCAAGAGUCAGGAGGUAAAGUAAAACAAUCAGAAAUUCUUGCUGAGCCACAUUUUAACAUUUUUCUAGAGUCAGGAGGUUAUCGUAGCUCGUCUUCACUAACUGUUCCCUCAUCAAAGGCAGAGACAAAUGCCCUCACCACCUCUCACUGGGCUCCCCUUCCAAGUCAUGAGGAUUAUCAGCAGCCUCCUGACACCGUCGCUGGGGAAUACAGACUAUUCCUUUUGCAGCGCCUCGACUGGACGGAGACUUGAGUAAUUACUUUCGAUGACUGGUGUCUAUAUAUAGAUGCUCAUAUUUCAGGUCAGACAUGCAGAGGCACUUGCUUUGGAAAACAAAGUCUUUUGAAGAGUGAGCUAUCGGUGGGUUUAAAAGUUUUCCCAGUAAAAGCUUGAAGGAGCAUUUACAUUUGCCAUCGGCCUCCGUGAUCAUUGUGUUGACCCAUUGCUGCUAUGGGUCCUCGUAAAGGUAAAAGAAAGAGCAGCAGAUUCUGCAGAGGUAUUUCUCAGACCAUAGUCCACCUUGCUCUGUAAGGAAUACCUAAAUUGAUCUUUUUUACCGGCAAAAACUGGGUCCCUAACACAGACAGUGGCAGAAUGGUGGACAUUCAGCCCAUUGCCUUUUGCAGAGCCAGUUUUGAUGGGAGUUUGGUUGUUGACCCUAAUGCAGAGUAAUUUGGGGCUUCCAUGACAAAUAAAAAUCUGUGCUUGAUUAAGCAUCAGGACUUAAACCCUUAUCCUUGUUUGAAAUCUACACACCGCAUGGUACAAACAAACAGAGAACAUUAGGCCUCAGGUACUGGCAUGGAAAAAGAAUUCCUGUGAGAAAGUUACAGUUCAGGAAGAUACCCUAUGAAAUUAGAAAUUACCUGAGUUGUCAAUAUAUUAUCCAAGUUUCUUUUUGUUAUCUGUAAGACAUUUUCCUCCUCCCAUGGUUACUCAGACCAUGGGAAGGGCCAUAUAUUUUGUUCCUCUGGUGUGUCAUGCGAGUAUGUUGGUCCUGGGGCUCUUUCUCUCUCUCAGGGAAUUCUGGAAGCCCUUGGAUGGGGUGACUGGGAUUUGCCAUCUCUUACUUCUCUUGCCUUCCUUCAGAAACUGGUGUUGAGGGGGCUGUUUUGGGGGCAAUAUCCCCAUAUGGGUGCAGCUGCCACCUCCUCUGGGGCAGACAGCAUCACUCUGUGGGUCCCAUCAUGGUGGCACAGCCUUGUGCAACCAUGUGGGGUCCAGGUGAAGCACCCAGAUGCCUUUACAAGUGUCCAUGCUGAGCUGUUACUUGCUUGGCUUUGUUUUGUUCUGGCCACCUUGUAUUCAUAAACCUGUGUCCGAGCUUCCCCGGGCUCGGAAUUUAAAUACAUAAAUGUCCUGCAAAGAUCUGUUGUUGGUUAGUAAUGUAUUGUCAGCUGUCCUGCCAGCCUUUUUAUCUUCUGAUUAGCUUUGAAAUCAUUGAAGCCAGUGAAGAUUCGUUUGUUAUCUCAGUUCUCGAAGGACCAGAAAUCCAGUGAUCGCACAAAUGUGCUGUGAGGCAAGUACCCAUUUGUAAGAUAGAUGAUGAUUGCUUGUCAAUACUAAGAAAAAGAGCUUUGUCAAGUCUGAAGUUGUCUCCUUUUUUAAUAAAAAAUAUUAUUUUUAUUUUCAUGCUCUGAGAAAACCGUAAGGCUCCUAGCAGUCGGCAAAGAAAAAAGAACCAACCACCCCAAAACCCAAGGUGACAGUCCCCGGGUUAAUCUACAGUCGUUCCUCCGUGACAUCCAGCAAAGAAACCCUGAGCCGGGUGUGAAACCACAUGCUGCACCACCACUCUGCUGAAAAAACAGCGUUUUCCUGGAGGCCCCUGAGAAGUGGGAAACAAAAGAGCGUAACUUUCUAAGUGAGCACAUACCCCUGCGCUGACUCACGGUAUGACUUUGUCUCCAUCACUCCCCGUUUCUUCCAGCCCUCCCCUCCCCAUGCUUUUCCAUGCCGUAAAAAUAGGAGCCAGGCUCUUUACGACCCAUCGGGACCCGGGUCUUUCUGCUUGUUUGCUCUGCAAAGGCUU